rnacentral:lncRNA from 1 species
UAAUCACUUAUCACUUGUCCCUGAUCAGAUAAGUGUAGCAAAGCUACCACUUAUCACUUGCCACUUGUCACUGAUCAGAUAAGUGUAGCUGAAGCUACCACUUAUCACUUGUCACUGAUCAGAUAAGUGUAGCUGAAGCUAUCACUUAUCACUUAUCACUUGCCACUGAUCAGAUAAGUGUAGCUGAAACUACUACUUAUCACUUGUCACUGAUCAGAAAUACUCAAAUCCAGCGUUCCGCUCAAUUUGAUCAUUUAUUCAGUUUUCGCAAUUUUAUUUUAUUCUCAUUUCAACAAUAAAUAUAUUUCAUCAUACAUUAUAUAAUUCAUGAAAUUAACAUUUAAUCAUUAAAUUUCAGCCAUAUAAACUUACCUGGGUCGAUUUGCAGAAUUUGUAAAAGUUCAGGGACUAAUCAGCUACUUUUUCUUUUCCUCAGCUUGCUUCGGGUUCUCGAUCUAUCAUUGUAAAAUCAUUCACUUAUCAGUAUUGAUUUCACAUUCACUCUAUUUCACAUCCUUAAUGUUUAUAAUCCGCUUAUAAGUAACAUUAUCUAUAAUUUCACUAUUUACUCACGACACCAAAAUAGGCUUUUAGCGGCACUUUUUUAGGCCUUUAGCGGCGUUUUUUGAAAUAAACGCCGCUAAAGGUCAGGGUCUUUAGCGGCAUUUUUGGAAAAGCGCCGCUAAAGACCAUGACCUAUAGCGACGCUUCUCUAACAAACGCCGCUAAAGACAUUAACCUUUAGCAGCGCUUUUCCCACAAACGCCGCCAUAGCUCAUGAGCUUUAGCGGCGCUUUUUCCACAAACGUCGCUAUAGCUCUAUACCUUUAGCGGCACUUUUCCCACAAACGCCGCUAUAACUCGAUAACGGCGCUUCUCAUAAACGCCACUAAAAAUAUAACAUUUAAAAAAAUUAUUUUAAUCAAAUAAUAUUUAUUUUUAUGAUAAAUAUUAUAUUAUGUUUUAUUUUUUAAAUUUAAACUUUAAAUAUACUUUAAGGAUAAAAAAUAUUAUUUAAAUUAAAUUUUCUAUGAAAAUUUUAACUUUAAAACUAAAUAUAAAAAUUAAUGAAUUUAGUUUUAGAAUUUAAAAUAAUAAAUUAAUAACACAAUUAAAAUCCAAAAGUUAAAAAAGUUGUCGUAAAUAUUAAAGUAAAAAAAAUUUAGAAUCAAAACUAAAAUAAAUAAUACAUAUGAGAAAUAGACUGACUAGUUGAACUUGCCAAUAACUAUACACAUUGAAAGGUAAUAAAAAAUACAAUACAUUUUCUUAAUCAAGUAAAUCUUGGUAAUAAAAAAUACAAUGCAAACUACAUCUGCUACAUUCCUGGUUAUCCAAUCUUCAUAUACCCUUCAGAAUUGGGAAAAUAAUUAUAGUGCAUUAAAACAAAAAUUGAUAUUGACAAGUUAAAUAUGAAUGGGAAAUAACAUGAAUGCAAAAAUUAAUACUCGAGGAAAUUGACAACUUAGCUAUCUCAACCAUGGAAAUGAAUUAGAUAUUGAAUAAGAGAGAUUACAGCAAUGAAACCAAUGAAUUCCUAGUUUACAUAUGUAUGUGCCACUGGACUUGUUAAGUGAAGAAUGAGAACCAAAUUUUUUUCAAUGACUACAGGACAUAAAGACCAAAAGCAUCAAAAGUUUCCAAACAUGAAACAACUAAUCUAUUAAGCAAGUCAGAAAAUCAACGACCUUAUUGUUUUAGCUAAUAGUGGAACAAGGAGACAAUUGAGAUCAAUUGAGACUAACCUCGGCUGAGAUGCAGAAGUUUCACGACAAUCAGAAAAGAUCACCUUGAUAUACUUAUAAUCUUCGCACCAUAAAUAAUCAAAGUAAUAAUCAUCGAUAUUAUUCACCUUGUUGCCUGACCUCACAUAAUAAUCAAAAUAAAUUUUAAAACAGCUCAGAAAUUUUAAAUAGAUUACAUCAACAUAUAUUGAGCAUAGCAACCUUCUAAAGAGAAAAUCAAACAAAUCAACUAAACGAACAUAGAAAAAUUGAUGCUUCAAACCAAAACACCAGAAUUUAAUAGACAUUAGCAUUAGUCUGCAAAUCUAUCAGGUAAAGACAUUAGCACAAUUUAAUAGAACUUUAAUCUAAAAAGUAAGUACAUAAAUAUUCUCUAGUCUUAUUUCAUAAUAUACCCAAAUAUAACACCAUUCCAAAGCAUAAUGUUGUUAUCUUGAGGUGCACCACUAAUUCCUGCACAAAAUAAAUGAUAAAAAAGGCCACAGUUCUUUAGCAUAAACAGCAAACAAAUUAGAUGAAAUACAAGAAUGCUUAGAUGGCAAAUUACAGAGACUAUAGCACAUUUAUUUAUUUAAUCUCACAAAUAAUUUUAUUUAACCGAUGGAUUUGAAAGGUAAUUUUUUCGGGGGAAAUAGUUAGUACAAUUUUAAACUUGAAAUUAGUACAAUUUUAAACUGGGAGAAAUACAAGAAUGCUUAGACCUAACAUAAAGAAUAGUUAGUACAAUUUUAAACUUGAAAUUAGAAAGAUGAAUAAAAACUCCUGUAAAAAAUAAGAACUCUUCAAAAUAAGCAAAUAUUUUUCCUUCUCUUUGCUAAAAUAAGUCAUGGGAAUGGUUAAAUAUUACCAAUUGAAUUAGUUUAUUGCUAACUUAUAUACUAAAACAUGCAUAAAAAAUAAUACUCCCACCAAAUGUAGCAUAAAUAUUUUAAUUUUAUCUUCAUAACUUCCUUGAUAAAAUAAUUCCAUUUCCAAAUGAUUUGAGUUUGAUGAUUUAAAUUCUUACCAGCAGCACCAAAUGCCUCGUGAAUCUCCAAGUGCAAGAAAUGAACGAUAUCUACAAGCUUCUCCAUGACCUAUGAAUACAAGGCAUAAAACUUCUACUGAUAUAUAUCAACUAACUUCAAAAUCAAGCAGCAAAAGACACUUGUAACAUUAUGUGCAAAAGCUCGCAUACCUUUAGACUUGGAGUUCACCGCAAAAGAUAAAAAGAACACCACAUUUUUUUUUGAAGUUCAUCAUAAGUAUAUGAAAAAUGAUAUAACAAAAAAAAAUUCAUAGAGCUUUACUAGUACCUCUUCCAAAAUUCUAGACCAAAGAGAUUUUUUCUUCAAAUUUUUCACAUGCUUAUUUUGACUCUUUAACUCUGCUCUCAAUAUUGCAAGGUUGUCUCUUAGAUAACAUCAACUAUAUUACAUAUAAAUUCAAAGGAAACAACAAUCGGAUACACAGAAAACUUCACAGCAACUUUGCAAACAAAACCAAUAUUUAAUAUUUCUAAGUGUUUUCCCCUCAAUAUGAACAGGAAUAUAGAUAUUUAGCUGAAGGGAGCUGCUCACAUCUUGUGCAAACUUCAUGGGCAAUGACGGGUCUGAUUCAUGGAGGACAGGUAGGGUUAUGGGAAAUAAAUUAUGCUGAUAUUAGUGGUUAAAGAAACAUGAUACCAACCCUUAAACAUAAGAAAUUCAAAGCAAACCUCAAUUCCUGCUCUGUAUGUUUCUUUCUAACUAGGCUGAUGUCGAUCCGGAACCUUUACAUAAAGCAGCAAGACUACUGAUUAACUCACAAAUGGAAAGUGGUGAAUUUCCUCAACAGGUAUCUCAGACAUAAAUCAGAUCCUUCUAGCAAAUUAAUGCAUCCAUUGCCAAAAGAUUUGGCGUCCUUUCUUAUCUAAAUGAUCAAUAUCUAAAUCAAACAUUAAUUAAUAGUACUUUUCCCUAAACUACAAUAUUGGUUUUCACAGGAACUUACAGGGAUCUGUUUGAGGACUUGUAUGAUACAUUAUGCUGCAUAUAGAAAUAUAUUCCCAUUAUGGGCUCUAGGCGAAUAUCGAAGGUAUGUGCUCUUGCCUUCAUAAGUGAUAUAGGUUCUCACAGGAUCUAGGAAUUAUUAGUACCGUUAAUUGAUGCUUACUUAGUAUUUUUUCUCUAAUCAAAUCAAAAAGUUUUCAGCCCUUUCGGUGUUGUAUAUAUGAUUCCUCCAAUAAACUUGUAAACAUUAUGCUGAUCUCAGUAACUCGGGCUUAUUUAAGGGGUAUAAGAAAGAAACAAAGUGAGCAGAUAUUGUAAAAGGAAAUACCAUAUUCAAGGUGUAAAACUCGCAGACAAAUGAAAAUAUAUGCAUGGUUCAAUUGACUUGUUUUCAGCUUUUACUCUUGAUGACUCCUUUGAUACGGAUUAUAAAUCCACAACAUAGAUUUAAUUCCAAGUUACAGUUCAUUACUACCAAAAACAACAAUGAAUUCAAUCCUAUUGCAUGAGAACUCAAAAAUUGACCCGGAAUUAUGGUAGAAAUUUGAUUCGACAACAUGACUCAUCCUCAUGAAUCUGCCAUAUUGUUAUCAGACACCUUUGCUAUUGCCAGACUGGAUUGGUUUCCAUCUCUCUGGACUUCGUGCAACCAGCAUAUUCUCAAUCUGCUUUUGCAACUCUGCUCUUCUUUGGUGAUUUGAAGCUAAGGUUUUUGCUAAACUCUCUUUCAUAGCCAACAGUUCAGCCCUUUUCAUCUCUGCCUCAGCUAUCUCAGAACUACUCUAUAACCAUUGUUGCCUGAAAGUUCCAUAAAAGUUAACUUCAGCUGCAAGAAACAUCGGUUAAAAUUGACAAAUUCCAUGAAACCAAGAUAGGAGAUCGAAUGUAUACAUUGCUCAAUUUGAUCAAUUAAAAAUGAGAUUAUAUUUGUAACUUCAACAAACUUCUUAGUAGUUCAAAUUUAAGAUUCUUAAUUUGAAAGUCUCAAAUUCAAACAUUUCAAUUUACCUCGUUUACACUGUUCCUCAAUUCUUGCAUUCGAGUUCGAGUUUCCGUCAAAAACCUCUUUACAUUCUCUCCAAACUCAUUCAUUUCUGAAAUUUUCAAUUCGUAAAACGUAUCUCUCUCCUUCUCCACCUCUUCAAGCUCCUCAAUCUCACUUUUCACAGCCCUAAGUUUCAACGCAAUGCAUUUCAGUUCAAAAUUUAAACUAUAAAUCUACACCGCUAAACACAUAAAAAAAUUUACUUCAAUUUUUGAGAACUAGAAUCAUAUUUGGUGUCGAGAUUUUCGAUAUCAGAUUUGAGAGCAGAGAUUCUAAAGUUUUGUGAUGCGAUCUUUUGAUCAAGAAACAAGCAACUUCGUUCCAUGGAACCAAUACGAGCCAGCUUCGAUUCUAAAACCUGAGAUUUGUGCGCUUGCAGCUCUUUCUCCGCCUGUGUAUUAACAAGAAGAGACACAAAAUUACGACUUUCUGGCUUUGAUUUUACCGGGAACCAAACAAAAAAAAAAGUGAAGUUUAGAUUUUACCAAGAGGAGCAUUAGACGUUGGUUUCUAGAAUGUUCCAUGUGUUCUAGUCUUUCUCGAAACGCAUAGGAAAUAUUGUAUUCAUCAAAAGGAAAAAUUAUAUACUACCUGCUGUUGAAGAUCUGGAACAAAAUCCGACUUAGCAUCUCUUAUCAGACAUUUUCAAAGAGGGUACAGACUACUGAUAUUUUCAAAGAAGAGGGCCCAUUGAAAGGCUCGCUUGAUGUUAUCAAAGUCCUAGUGAGCGGGAAGACCAGAGGAUUGAUACCCAGAAGACAAAACCAGGAUAUCAACAAACCCUUCUAUCAGUUUCAUCAUUUCUUCCAGCGAUAUGUCUGGGUGAUUCCAUCCCAUCUUCUGGUUUUCUUCCUUGAAGUCUGUUGUUGGAAAUGGGAAAUUUGGGGGAUUUCAGCUGAAGAAAAACAAACUUUAUUUGGGGGAUUUAGGGCGCACGACUGAGAUGAGAAGAAGAGGGAGUAAUGAGCGGGUAACCAAAAUUUUUUUUUUGGAAGUGAGCGGGAUUUUGAUUACCUUUUAUUUGCUUCCAUAUUUGCGGCAUUUUAAAGAAAAACGCCACUACUUAAGUUGAAAUGACACCGUUUUGAGAAAUUGCAAUACAUAUUUGCGGCGUUUUUUAUCAAAACGCCGGUAAUGUCUACCUUUUGCGGCGUUUUUCUUAAAAACGCUACUAAGAAAUUUAAAUUUCUCUAUUGAAACGGCACCGUUUUGGGAAAUUUUAAUACAUAGUAGUGGCGUUUUUUGCUAAAAAUGCCGCUAAAACUCGCAUAUUUUUUAUAUUCAAUUAUUGUAUCUUUCAUAUAAAUUUUACAUAAAGAAUUAUUAAAAUUUUAAGUAAUGUUUAAAAGAAUCAGAAAAAUUAUAAAUUUUAGUUUUUUUAUUUCAUUUUUAUUUUUGUAUUUUAUUUUUUUCUUAUAAUUUGGUCCUAUCCAAAUUAAAUAAUUACCUAUAUAUCCAUAUCAAAUAUAUCAAAUGGUUUAGGUUAAAUAUUUUUAAAUAUAAAAGCAUUAAUUAAUUGUAUAAAUUUGUAUCAUUUAAUAAAUCUCAAAUGAACCUUAAACCCUAAAUUAACCAUUCAGUAUACAUAAAGUCUAUUUAUUAUUUAUCUCUUAAAUAAUAUAAACUAUACCCAUAAUUCCAAUAUAUUAAAUUUAUUAUUAUAUCUUUUACAAUUAUAUAAGAACAUAUUUAAUAUAUAAAUUAAAAAAACUAAUUAAUCUAAACUCUAAACAUUAACCCGACCCUUGAAACCUUAAAUCCCUAAUUAAUCUAACUUCUAGCCCCUAACCCCUAACUCUUAACCCCUAACUUCUAACCCCUAAACCAUAAUCUCCAUUUUAUUAGAGAUAUUUCUUCCUAACUAAAAUAUAAUUAUUUUGCUAGAUGUUCGAUGUGGAAUGAUUUUAGUUUUUGUAUUUUAUUUUUAUUUGUUAUAAUUUGGUCCUAUAUAUCCAAAAUAGAUAGUUACCUAUCCGUAUCAAUUUUUUACUUUUUUAUUAAUUUUUUUAAAUCUAAUAUUUAAAUAUAUCAAAUGGUUUAGAUUAAAUAUUUUUUAGUGAUAAACACCGCUAAUGUUACCUUUUCCGGCGUUUACAGAGGAAACGCCACUAAUAAAUUAAAUUCUUGUAAUGAAACGACACCGUUUUAAAAAAUUCUAAUACAUAUUAGCGGCGUUUUUGCUAUAAACGCCGCCAAAGCUCGCAUAUUUUAUAAUUUUUUAUAUUCAAUUAUUGUGUAUUGCAUAUCAAUUUUAAUUUAAUAAUCUUUACAAUUUAUUAUAUAAUAACUUAUUUAAUAUAUAAAUUAAAAAAUAAUAAUUAAUCUAAAGCUUAAACCCUAACCAGACCCCAAAUCUCUAAACCAUGAAUCACUGACUCUUAACCCCAGACCCCUGACAACUAACCCCUAAACCUUAUUUAAUAUAUAAAUUAAAAAACGCUAAUUAAUCUAAAUCCUAAACCCUAACCCGACCCCGAAUCUCUAACCCCUAAACAUUAUUUAAUAUAUAAAUUAAAAUACACUAAUUAAUCUAAACCCUAAAUCAUAACCUGUCGCUGAAUCCAUAAACCUUAAACCCCUAACUCAUAACCUCUAACCCUUAACCCCUAACCCCUAACCCAUAAACCUUAAAUCACAACCCUUAAAUCAGAACCCCUAAUCCAUAAUCCAUAAUUCCAUAAUCUAUAAACCUUAAAAUUGUAACACUUAAACCGGCCCUAAAUCUUAAAUUAGCCAUAUAUAUACCCUAAACCAUAUAUAUUAAACCCUAAACUAUAAUGAUAAUUAAAUUAAAUAUUUUAAAAUUAAUACUAUUGUAUCUUUUGCAAUUAUAUUUGAAAUUAUUUAAUAUAUAAAUUAAAAAUCAAUCAAUUAUGUAGCCAAAAAAUUUUAAAAUUAUUUUAAAUAAUAGUAUUUUAAUUUCUCCAUUUUUAACAAAUAUUUUUCUAAGUUUUUUAUUUCAAAUUAUUUCUACGUGUCGUUAUUUCAAAUUUAUCCAUUUUUAACAAAUUUUCAAUUAAAAAUAAAUUGAAUUUUAAUUAAUAUAAAUAAACAAAUUAAAUAGUGUCAUUAUUUCAAAUUUAUCUAUUUUUAACAAAUAUUAAAUUAAAAAUAAAUUGAAUUUUAAUUAAUAUAAAUAAAUAAAUUAAAUAGUAAAUAGACAGACAAAAUGUUCUUGCGGCGCUUUUCCAAAAACGCCGCUAAAGAACUGAGUAUUAGCGGCGCUGUUACAAAAACGCCGCUAAAGAACUGAGCAUUAGCGGUGCUUAUCCAAAAACGCCACUAAAGAUUUGAGCAUUAGCGGCGCUUCUCCAUAAACGUCGCUAAAGAUCUGAGCAUUAGCGGCGCUUUUCCAAAAACGCCGCUAAAAAUCUAAGCAUUAGCAGCGCUUUUUUAAAAAACGCCGCUAAAGCUCGAAAGGCAUAAAAUGAUGCCGUUGAGCUUUGGGUUUUUUGCGGCAUUUUUCCAAAAAUCGCCGCUAAUGCUCAUUUUUAGCGGCGUUUUUGAAAAAGCGCAGCUAAUGCUCGAUCUUUAGCGGCGUUUUACGUAAAGCGCCGCUAAUGCUUGAUUUUUAGGGGCGUUUUUUGUCCAAACGCCGCUAAAAAUGCCGCUAAAAGUCUGUUUUGGUGUAGUGACUUAUGUAUAUUCAAUGUUGUCCAUCCGUGUCAUAGUCACUAAAUUAUUUUUAUCUUGAACUACAGAACUGCAAUCAGAAUCCGCAAAUUUUUCCUGAAACUAGACUCGCAUAUCUUCUUACCAUAAAAUUUUCAGAAUUUUUGGUUUAGCCAAUAAGUACAAUUUAUUCUUUAAAGUCACCCAUGUUCUGCUGUCUGACAGUUCCGACCCUUCUUCACUAAAAAUAAAUUAUCUCCUCGUACGGGAUUCGAAUGAUGUUCCCGUUUGUUUUUCUUGAAAAUAGACUCAUUCAAGAUUUUAAAUAUAUUAAUUUAAUUCCCUAAUUAUUUUUAUUAAAUUUUUGAUGAUUUUCCAAAGUCAGAACAGGGGAACCCGAAAUCAUUCUGAUAUUGUCUCACAAAAUUUAUUAUAUCUCAUGAUUUACAACUUUAUUGCUUACACCGUUUCUUCUUUGAGAAACUACAAUUUUAUUGCUUACACCGUUUCUUCUUUGAGAAACUAAACUCAAUAAGCUUUAAUUUCAUAUUUUAUUCAUCCUCUAAUUCAAUUCCCACAAUUUUUGGUGAUUUUUCAAAGUUAGACUACUGCUGCUGUCCAAAACUGCUUUAGUGAAAAAUGUUGAUUUCCAUUUUGCCCCAAAUUUCACAGUUUAUACAAUUCAGUCCUUUCUCAAUUAACCCCUCAAUUGAUCUAAUUUUUCUCAAUUAACACCUUUUCCAACUAUUUUAAACUACCAUAUGGCCUUUGAUUUUCAAAACGGCAACACCAAACCCUAAUUCUAAACUUUUUCACAAUUAGGUCCCUAAAAUCAAUUUCUAUCAAAAUCACUUAAUAAAAUCAUCUUAUAAUAAAAUUAAAGCUUUAAUUCCAUUUUCAUUCAUCAUAAAAAUUCAGCACUCAUCAACGGUAACUCUCAAAAUCAGCCAUGAAAUCAAAAACUAAUGAAAUAAUUAGUUGGACCUAAUUGUAAAAGUAUCAAAAUCACAAAAAUUAUAAGAAAUAAUCAAGAAUUAAACUUACAUUAUUCAAAUAUAUGAAAAACCAGCUUGGAGGGACUCUUAUAUGGCGUUUUUGGCUGAGAAAUAUGAAGAAUUACCUAGAAACUCUUUUAAUCAAGAUUUUUAUUUGUUAAUUUUUAUAAAAUUUCCAAUUUUUCCCUUAUUACAUCACUUUUUCAGAUUUUUCUUCUGUUAUGCCAUCUUAACUAUCCCAUAUUGGCAUAUUUAUGCCUUAAGUCCUUUCUUAUUUAUCACUUAAGCUAUUUAAUCACUUUUAACAAAAUUUACAUUAUUUUCAGUUCAGUCUUUUUUAAUUAAUUGACCACCCAAACGUUAGAAUUUUCUAAUGAAACUUUAAUACCAACUCAAUGGCACUCUAUAAACAUUUCUAAAAAUAUUUAUGGCUCAGUUUAUGAAUUUGGGAUUUCGAUACCUCAUUUUCGAUUCUAAUUAUUUUAAUAUUUAUUCCUAGUACGCUAUUCACUAUUUCAAAAAAAUUUCCUAACUUCACAUUUAACUUAUACUCACUAAAUUAAUAAUAUUUUCUACUCACUUGUAAGAUUUAGUGAUCUCGAAUCACCGUUUCGACACCACUAAAAAUUCAGGCCAUUACAAAUAAUGUCUUCAACUUAUCACUUAACCAAAACCUCAUUGUAAUAUCCUUUUAUCACUUAACCAAAAUUUAUUGUGCACAUUUUAUUAUCUCUAUCAAUUUUAUAUAUAAACUUCCAUACUAUUAUUCAAACCCUUUAUUGAGUUGGUGUCACGAGUCAACUAAGAACAAAUUCGAUUAGAAAAAUUACAGAAAUAUCCUUUUAUAUUUCUUAAUUAAAUUAAGUUACAUUAUUUGAUGGUACUUUAAUCUUUUAUUUUAUAAAAAAAUCAAUAAAAAUAUGCAUACAAUGGAAUUUAAAUCCAUGUCAAUUGCAUUAAUAAAACUUUAAAUUUACCAUUCAACCAAAACUUCAUUUUAAUAUUUUUUAUGUUGGAUAUGGUGCAAGUAUAGUAUUUUUGUUUAUGCAUGCUUAUAAUUGUUGAACAAGCUGGUUCAAUAAUAAUAACUAUUAAUUACAUUAAUAUUCUUUGUAUAUUGUUCUUAGUUUUUUUGCACGAUAAGCAAAAUAGAAGCCAAUAUUAGCUCACUGGUUAUCUAACAUUUAACUAAUAUUAAGCGGUAUUAUGUGGAUGGAUUGUAAUACCAAAAGACAGCUUGUAUUAAUAGAUGGACCUAAACAUAUCAUUGGGCUAAUUGGAAAUGAGCAAAUUGGUUGAAAAACUAAUAAGUCGUCUAUCAAGUUCAAUUGAUGAGGUGUUUUGUCAUGAUCAUCGAAGCGGAUGACUCUCAAAAGAUAGAGACAUAUAUGUGACUAACUGAACUAACAAUAUAUCAGACAUAACCCAAGUAGUAUAGAUCCUAUAUCCAUUUAUGGAUUUAUUUACUUGGAACGUUCAUAAUGUGACAUCUCAGUAAUUGAAUCUUUAAUUCGUGAUUUGUACACUUUGAUGUAAGUAAAAAUUUGAGUUCAAAUAGAUAAAGAACCGAAAGUUGGUGCGUUGGGUAUAUGACUUUUGUAGUAUGUAGCAUCGUUCUCAAUAAUUGAAUUCAUAACUCAAUUAAUGUGUAAAUGAUAUCCUCUCAUUGUCAUUACGUGAUAGAUGAAAAUUAAACGUAGCCAUGAGACAUUUUUCUUUGUGACAAAUGACUUAAUUAUUAUUUGAUAGUAAUUGAUUUCUCAUGAAAGAAUAUGAAUGAUUACUAUGAGAUAAAAUAAGAUCAUAUUGGGAGAACAUAUUUAUUUCAAAUAGAUUAAUAAUAUCUUAUGAUGGCAACCCACUUAUGACAAGGUCAUUAGAUGAGUAUUGAUUAAGCAAUUUUCAUAAUGGUAUGUAGUUAGGAAAAAUUCAGUCGCGAUACUAUAGUAGAAUGACUUCAUAACUAAAUAAGUGUAUAAUUAAUAAGAGAAAAGUUAAAACUUAAUUAUAAAUUAUUUGAGCCCUGAUUAUAUAUGUCCAAUCAGUCUAUCUGCUAACUCGUUUAAACCAUAAACGAAUUGCAUGUAGAACCAAAUGAUAAAAAAAUGAAUGGAAGUGAUGAAGUUAGAGAAAUGAGUUAAAGUUAACGUUGGAAUAUGGCAACCCUCGAUGGCUAACUGGGUUAAAGUAAACGUUGAUGGUUCAAUGUUAAGAAAUAACCCAAAAGCAUUUGUAAGAGGGGCAAUGAGAGGGCCUAGUGGAGGAUGGUUGGUAGGAUUCAAAAUGGUAUUAGGUAUGAAUGAUAUCUUUUAGAGGCCAAAGCGAUUCUUAAAGGACUAAAAUUGGCUUAGGCUACAGGAUUCAGGUGUGUUGAGUUGGAAAGUGACAAUGCAAUGUUGAUUGAAACUAUUCGUAACGGGUUGGCUACAAUACGUAGUGUUGUUGAAGUCAGACAGAUUCACGAUUGGUGUUCCAAAAAUUGGAAAGUUAAAUUUCGACAUAUUUAGCGAAAUGCCAAUAAAGUUGUUGAUAGCUAAGGCAGAUGGAGGCGUAAUUGAGCAAUUGGUUAUCCUGAAAGAUCCUCCGCAAUAUAUGAUAUGCUGACUUGAAGAAGAUAUUAGACAAUCACUGGUGAUUGAUUAAGACUAUGUUCGCUUAAUAUUCUAAGCUUAUGAUCAACAAAAAGAAAAAAAACUAUUAUUUUAAUAAAAUUUUCACUAAAUUGACAUCAGUAUUUAGUUGAUUGAUGAGACUGUCUCAAUCAACCUGUUUAGUAUGUGGUUAUUUUCUUUACAAAUUUAAAUAAAAAUUGUCAUUAGAUAUGUACGGUACUACGGCUCGAACGUGAACCCAAGAAAGAAUCCGAUAAUAUUUUCCUUAAAGGAGAAAAACCACAAAAGCUAACAAUCAAAGUGAAAUCUGCCCCUCUAGGGUUUCCAACAAAUCAUUCCCAUUAAAUUUCUUUGUUUUCUUUUCUCUGGUUCUUGGCGAUAUGAUCACGCCGCGAAGGAAGGCGUGGUCUCCACUAACUUUAACUCCGCCUACUGAGCCGCAGACGGCGGGGGUUCCGAACACUAGCAGCGGUGGCAUUCGGGGUAAGGGAAAAGCUGUUGCUUUUGCCCAUGAUACUAGGAAACUGCCACCGCCUCCUGUUGCCUCUCUUAGUUGCAAGGGGCCUCUGAAUGUUGAGGUGGAAGAGGAGGACACGGAGGAUUGGAGGCGGUUCAAGGAAGCUGGGUUGUUAGAUGAAGCGGCCUUGGAAAGGCGGGACCACGAGGCCCUUGCCGAAAGGCUCUCCAACCUCGAAGGGGAGGUGAGUCGUCAUUAAUUUUUAUAACUUUUGCUGUUAGUUUAAAUUUCUUAGUUGGAAUCAUCCGCUACAUAACCAAAGUUUUGAAGGGCACUUUUUUUCUCAAAGAAAUUUGAACUUAGAUGUUUAAGUUUGAUCCCAAAUAGGUUGAAGAUUUGUGACAAAACAAUCAAUAUGAAGAAUAUUAAAGUUUACAUGUUUAUAUAUUUUUGUUGAAAUUAAAGUUUGAUUUGGAACUUACUGCUGCUUACAGGAAAAUUCUUUGUCAUAUUUUGUUUGACUAUUUUGCUUUUAAAUCAAUCAAAUGCAUGUAGUUCAGUACUACACUGGCUUUGUACUGGGUUCAUUUGUUUUGGCCUUCAUUGUCUGCUCUUAUUUGGUCGUUUGUGCUUUGCCAUCAUUCGAUCACUCCUCAAGUGGUCUUCUAUUAGGUGCUAACCGUUUUAAUUUUCGUGUGAAUGUUGAAUUUCUUUGUUUCUUCUUUCGCUGUAUAUAUGAAAAGUUGUUUAGUUUUUUGAAUGCGACAUUUAGGUUGCUCCAUUGGGAUCCUGGAGUUUAUGUGUUAAUGUUGUGGAAUCAGUACAUUUUCAAACACACGUUAAGGGUUAUGCAUAUUGAACAUUUCCAUACUUGUGAUGUAGGAGUCUAAUGCCCAGCACUAGGCUUCCCUCUUUAGCAACUCAAACAGUUUAAUCAUGCAACAAUGCUUCAUUGCUGUACUGGUGAAACAUGAAUCUUUCUGUUGAAUUUCAUUUGGCUUCCCUCUUUAGUAAUUCAAAUGAAUGAAAUAGAUCAUUGUGCUUCAUUUAAAUUGGUGAAACAUUAAUCAUUUUUGUUCUUCACUUUAUUAGUUAUUUAGUUGCAUAUUAUUAUUAAAUGCCGUCAUCCCAAGAUUAAGAAUGCUGAUCACCUUGUAUGGUUGGCCUUUGUUCUUUCUGUUGUGGGAUUAUGUUAAGUUCCUGAUUGAAGCUGCACCUAUAAAGUUUGCUAAAUACUUUUUCGUUGCUUGAUGUGUCUAUUUCUGUUUAGCUUUUUAACUACCAGUACAAUAUGGGGCUCCUCCUCAUUGAGAAAAAAGAAUGGACAUUAAAGUGUGAAGAAUUAAAGCAAGAACUUGCUGAAGUUGAGGAGAUUCUCAGACGUGAGCAGGCAGCCCACUUGAUUGCAUUAUCUGAAGUUGAAAAGCGAGAGGAGAACUUGGCAAAAGCCUUAGCUGCUGAAAAACAGUGUGUGGCUGAUGUAUGCUUUUUCUUCCAUUUUUUUCUUAUAUAACUGCAUGUAAUGUUUCUGUUCAGAAGCAUCCUUAAUGUUCAUCAUUGAUUACCUGUUUAACCUGCUGUUUGUCUAACUUACUGAAAUUGAUAUUAUGGCUAUAUCUCUUGUUGCAGCUUGAAAAAGCAUUGCGUGAUAUUCAAGAAGAACAUGUCCAGGUUAAGCUUAGUUCUGAUACAAAGUUGGCUAAUGCAAAUGCAUUGGUUGCUGGAAUUGAAGGAAAAUCCUUAGAGGUGGAAGAAAAGCUGCGUGCUGCUGAUGGUAGGCUUGCAGAGGUGAAAAGAAAAAGUUCAGAAUUGGAAAGGAAACUGCAAGAGAUGGAGGCUCGUGAAAGUGUGCUUCAAAGAGAGCGUCUUUCCUUUGUUGCAGAGUAUUCUCUUAAUAAACUUUUUAAUAUAUGUUAAGAUGGUUGUUUUGACUUGAACUUUCUUGGAUUUGCUCACAUCUCAUGACAUAUUGUUCUUGUUAUGCAUUUGUUCUACUACUUCUAGACGAGAAGCAUAUCAGGCAACUUUUUACAAACAGAGGGAAGACUUGAAUGAGUGGGAGAAGAGACUAAGCAAAGGAGAAGAGAAGCUGACUGAACUGAGGAGAAUGCUCAACCAGAGGGAGGAAAAGGUGAAUGAGAACGAUAGGCAUUUCAAGCAGAAAGAGAGGAGCCUUGAAGAGCUGCAAAAUAAGAUUGAUUUAUCCACAUUGAAGUUAAAGGAGAUGGAAGAUGAUAUAGGCAAACGUUUGACAGACUUGGUUUCAAAAGAGAAGGUGGAUAUUUUAUGCCUAAUUUAGUGAUUAGUUUAUUUUGAUUUUGUUCUUGAAUUCUGAGUAUUUCAUUAUGUUAAAUAUUGUAGGAAGCUGAGUCCAUUAGAAGUACUCUAGAGGCAAAAGAGAAGGAUCUAGUUGCACUGGAAGAAAUGCUUACUGCUAGAGAAAGGGUGAGAUAAACUACGUUCUGUUUUAGUUUGGAUUGUAAAUAAUGCAAAAAAGGCUAUAUUUCCUUGAUACUCUUUUUCUGGUUGUUUCUUUUCUUGUUUUUAUUCUUUUGCUUCAUUAACUGUGGUGUUUACAAUUUCUCUCGGCACCUUGUAUUGUGUUUUGCACUUUCCAUGCAUAAGAAACACACCAGCAUAUAUAUUUCUUUGCUGGUUGUAAGACAGUAUCUUUUUAAGGUAAGCAUCUUUUGAGAAAAUUGGCAUGCUAUUGAUUUGAUCAUGAAGAGCUUGGUGUCAUGACUAGAUUGCAGUGUCCUGUUUGCAUUCAUAAGAACAAGAUGUGAAAGUUAUGAUAAUGAUGCCGACACUUUAUUCACACUUAAGUUCACUCAAGGUUGAAUGGUUUCCAUAAUGAUUGUAGGUAAACUUUUUUUCCUGAUAAAUGUGAAGAAUUGGAAGUAGGCGCUACAAAUUUGAUAAAAUGAUUGUAUAUUUGCGUCACAUGCACUUUUUUACAGUGCAAGUUGCAAUGUUCCUUCUCUUUUUGGAAGUAAGCAAUGGAGUUUGAGAAAUUGCUAAGUUCUCUAAAGCAGAGAUUCUUAUGUCUUUCUUUUUUCUUUUCCUCUAUAUACUGAUUCAUUGUUGAAUUUGUCAGUAUUUUAUUGUAUGUAUGUGCAUGAUUUUAUGAUCCCGCUCUCCAUGUCUAUGCUCCUUUUCUUUGGCUUGUUUGGUUGGUAGAAAUCUAUGCAUAUGGUAAUAGACUAUGCGAAUAUGUUAAAUAGGGUGAGAAUAAUCCCUUUCUUUUCCUUUUGCUGAGAAUCAGCUUGUUAUUAUUUAAUAGCUUUUAUUUCGCAGCCUCAAGUUCUUAAUUCCUUGGGUUUUUAUAGGUGGAGAUUCAGAAACUUGUCGAUGAGCAAAGGGUUAUUCUGGAUGCUAAAAGGCAGGAGUUUGAAUUGGAACUUGAAGAAAAGAGGAAGUCUGUUGAUGAGGAACUGGAAGGCAAGAUACAUGAAAUAAACCAGCAGGAAGCCGAAAUUAAUCACAAAGAAGAAAAGUUGAGGAAACAAGAACAGGCACUGGAUAAGAAGUCAGAGAGAAUGAAGGAGAAAGAAAAGGACCUUGAGGUGAGGUUGAAAACAGUCAAGGACAAAGAGAAAUUUGUGAAAACUGAGGAGAAGAAGUUGGAGCUGGAAAGGCAGCAGCUGUAUGCUGCUAAAGAGAACUUACAGGCUCUCAAAGAUGAGAUUGAUAAGAUAGGUUCUGAAACCAGUCAACAAGAGUUACGAAUUCAAGAAGAGUCUGAAAAGCUUAAAAUUACUGAAAAGGACAGAGCUGAACAUAUCCGCUUGCAGUCUGAAUUGAAGCAGCAGAUAGUCAACUGCAGACAUCAGGAGGAGUUACUUUUGAAGGAACAUGAGGACCUCAAACAGCAAAGGGAAAAUUUUGAGAAAGAGUGGGAUGCUUUGGAUGAUAAAAGAGCUGAAAUCAUUAUGAAACAAAAGGAAAUUGAUGAAGAAAAGGAAAAGUUCGAAAAAUUGCAACAUUCAGAAGAAGAAAGAUUGAAGAAAGAAGAAGCUGCCAUGCAAAAUUAUGCUUGUAGGGAGAUGGAAUCUCUCAGGCUGCAGAAAGAAUCAUUUGAAGCCACAAUGAAGCAUGAGAAAUCAAAUUUGCUGGAAGAAGCUCAGAAUGAGCGAACUAGAAUGCUUCAAGAUUUUGAAGAGAGGAAAAUGAAUCUUGAAACUGAUAUGAAGAAUAGAUUUGAUCAAAUGCAGAAAGAUCUGCAAGAAAGGAUUGUUGCAUUUGAGGAGGUGAAGGAGAGAGAACUUGCUAAUUUGAGAUGCUCAAAAGAAGAUGCUGAGAGUCAACUGGAAGAACUAAAAUCUGCAAGGUGUGCUGUAGAAAGGGAAAAACAAGAAGUUGCAAUGAACAGGGAUAAGCUGAAAGAGCAGCAGCUAGAAAUGCGAAAAGACAUUGAAGAACUUGGUAUCCUUAGCAGUAAGCUCAAAGACCAGCGGCAACAGUUUAUCCGUGAAAGACAUAGCUUCCUUGAAUUUGUAGAGAAGCACAAGUCUUGUAAGAACUGCGGAGAAGUAACAAGGGACUUUGUACUCUCUAACUUCGAAAUUCCUGAUUUGCAGGAUAGGAAAAUCCUUCCUCUUCCACAGCUAGCUGGUGAAACCUUAAGCCAUCAUCAAGGUUAUGUAGGUGGUUCUGGUGCUACAAAUAUCAAAAGAUCUCCUGAAGCUGAUGCGCAAUAUCCAGAGUCUGCUGGACGCAUGUCCUGGCUUCACAAAUGUACUAAGAUUUUUAGCAUUUCGCCAACUAAGAGAAAUGAAAGUAAAGCUGAAAGGCCUAGCAUGCUUACCACUACAGAAGCAGGAGUGAGUAUUCAAGGAGAGGCAGGAGAGCCAUAUUUAGGGAUUACAGGUGACACUGUCCGUAGCCAAUUGCUCCAAUCUAAUACAAUUAGGGAGGUGGGUGAUGGAUCUGUCCCAUCUGCUGAUCAUAGCUUUGGUGAGAGUAAGGUGCAAGAUGUUCCUGAAGAUUCUCAGCAAUCAGAGCAGAAGAGUGAUCACCGCAAACCUAGAAGAAAACCUAAAUCUGGACUGAAUCGAACACGCUCCGUGAAGGCUGUAGUUGAAGAUGCAAAACUAUUCCUUGGUGAAAGCCCUGAAGGACCUGAGCCUAGUAAUAGGGUGCAGUCACAUGAAACCAGUCAUGUCAAUGAAGAAAGUGCUGGUGUUUCUAGUCAUACUGUUGAGGGGGCAGGACCACGGAGUAAUGCAAGAAAAAGGCAACGCCAACAAAAUUCCCAAGUAAGAGACCGUGAGUUGGAUGCUGCAGAUAGUGAAGGACACUCUGAUAGUGUCACGGCUGGUGGGAGAAGGAAGAGGCAACAAACAGUUACUCCAGGCCUCCAAACCCCAGGACAAAACCGAUACAAUCUCAGGCGACCCAAGACGUAAGUUCCAUCUUAUUAUAUGUAAUAUUCUCAAUGACUUCUGGUAAUAAAUUGUACAAUGUUGCUUUUUAUGUGGUGUGGUGCUUUGACUAGAUUCACAUAAGUUGCCCUUCUAAUUUUGAUUGAAAGGUAAGAAAUGCUGAUUUGUUGUAUUGUAGGAUUCUCUUUUAGAAGAAAUUUAUUCAGAACCCUUUUAAGUUCUAAAUUUGCCUUUGUGGAGUUUUUGCUUGUGCUUAGCCUGUAACUGAAUUUGCCAUUAAUAUUGAAACGGAAAUGGGUUUAUGAGCCUUUUUGAUGGUCUUCUGCAUAUCAGAUGCUGCGACGACUACCCCUUCUUUCUUGGACCAGAAAAUAUAUGUUCGGAAUGAGAAGUACUCAACACAAUAAGUAAAUAACUACAAAUAAAUUAAGUUAAUUCUCUCAUCAAUACUUUCCAAUCCUUUCUAAAGAACUAUGUAUCAGCAGGAUUACAUUGUAAUGAUUUAAAACAAGAUUUAGGAUUUCAAAUAAAACAAUCAAAGCAUACGGAUUUGGUUUCAUACUAUUUAGCUGCAUAUAAUAGUGUUAGAAGUGGAAUUAAUGGAUUAAAAAAUGGUGAAAAGAAAAAAACCUUUUUGGUUGCAUUAUUGUUGAAAACGUUGUUUUCAAAUUUUUAGAAGAGGGUGUUUCCAAACAUUUUAAUUACUGCUUUAAUGACAAUUUAUGUUAAUGUUUGGAAGUCAGUUCAUAUUUGUGUGUUGGAUUGUGAUGCAAGCACAAAUAUAUUGUUCAAAUUUGAAUAGAAUGGUACAUGCAAAACUAAAUAUGAAAAAAUAUGCUCCACCACAUAGAAGGGUACUAAAAAUAUGUUAAGAUCUGUGUUUUCAGAUGUUGGAGAAUGUUGACAGAUACUGGAAGGCCUAAUUGCAUAUAAGGGAACCAUUUAUGUAUCUUUAAUUAUGUAGCAUAGAAAGGAAAUAUUUUUGGAGGAUAUAGUGGUCCGUUAUUCUUUUAUUUUUGUUUUGUGUGUGUGUAAAAUGGAAAAUAUCUCCAGUGGAGGAAACCAUUUCUUCUAUUUAACCAGGGUUUUCUAUAACUGGAUAGUUUUUCGUGGUCUUAGGUUAUUGUCUAGGAUAUGAUUAAGGUUCCCAAGAGGUGAAAACACUUGAUUAUUCUAAAUAUACUUUAAAAAAAAUAUAUUUUUACAGUACAGUCACAGCCACAGCAGCACAGGCCUCAUCUGAUGUCCUGAAGACUAGGAAGGAGCCUGAGGAUGGUGGGUUGGAGGGAGGAGUGCAUACUAGGAAGGAGCCUGAGGAUGGUGGGUUGGAGGGAGGAGUGCAUACAAGGAAGGAGCCUGAGGAUGGUGGGUUGGAGGGAGGAGUGCAUACUAGGAAGGAACCUGAGGAUGGUGAGAACAGAAGAUCUAACUUGGUGCAGGUUACAACAAUAAAAAAUGUGGAGAUCUUAGAAAGCGAGGUGGUUAAGGUAAGUCCUGACUAAACCAUUUGUGUUGGGAUGCCAUGUUAUGAUUUCCAUCAUGCGUUUUCUUCUUACUCUACCCCAAACCUUGUUAUGCCAGCUCAAAACAAGCGUGGAUGUUGGGGGCAAUGAAAUAGCAGCAAAGACAGUCAAAAGUGUGGAUUUGAUUGAAGAAGUAGAUGUUACAGCUGAAAAUGGUGAUGAAGAUGAGAGUUGGGGCAGAUUCCAAGAGGAGGAUGAAGAGGACGAGGAUGAUGAUGAUGAUGAGAUGGAAAAUCCGGGUGAUGUGUCAAUUGGAAAGAAAAUCUGGACAUUUUUUACCUCAUAAGUCAUAAGGCUCCUAUUUUGUUUUUUUUUUUUUAAUUUUCUUUGAGACUGAGGGACGUUGCUAUGCUACACUUUGGCACAAUAAGUUGUGUAACUAGGAUGCUUUAACUUUAGCUUUAGUUUUAGCUUCAGCUUCUGAGCUUUGCAUUGUAUCUUGUGUAUGGCUUAUAUAGGAAUGUUUCCUGUCUGUGGAUUCCCCGGGAAAGUGAUGUGGAAGUGGUAACAACAAUUGAUUUCUAGUUCGUUUUGUACACUAUAUUCUUUAGUUGCAAGUAUGUUUUGCUUCAUUUUUAUCAUAUUCCUAGUUGCAAAAAUUACUGCACAUCCUGCUUUUGCCUUCUUCCCAGUUGCUGGAAAUCAUUUUGGAAAUUGAAUGCGAUGCAUUGACAAUGAAGCAUAGCCGCCUCUCUCACCUGUGCAUGUUUAUUUGAUUAGGUUUAGAUGGAUGCAUAGGACUUGUAAGACCAGAAUCAACUCUUGUUUUUUUUUUUUUUGCUUUGCUUUACAUUGCAUUGCCAGCAGGUCAAGAGAGGCCACAAAUUUUCGAAGUUGGUCAGAGUUUGACUACAUGUCAUUGUAUAUUUUAAUUUACGAACAUGUCUUUCUUUCUCUAGUGUCAUUUUCAUGCAAAGAUCAAUCGUCUAAACCAAUUCCAUUGAACCGGUCUUAGGAUGAAUCGCUACAAUGAAAUUGAAAAUGAUCUAGAAAGUUGGUAUGAUAGUAACAUUGAAAUGUAGCACACAUGUUUGGCUGGUAUUGCCUCUUAAUUUCCAAGAGAGAUUUUCUCUUACGGGUUAAGAUCUAUUUUAUUACUUUUUUAUCUCUUAAUAUUCAAUAUAAUGAUUAUCACCAUUCAAAUACAUAGAAUCCAUAUAAGAUUUAUUUAUUAAAUAUAAAAAUUAACUUGCAAUAAUGGUCAAAUAUGUGUUAGAUAUUAAUGAAUGAAAAAAUAAUGAAGUGGAGCCAAAUCCUUUUUUACCAUAAAGUUGAAUGCUAAUUUUGUUUUUGCGCUUUUGCACUACGUCUUUCUCUGAUUCUGAGCGUCUGAGUCUCAGCAGCAGCAACAGUACUGUUUGAGUUGAGAAACCCCACCGGCUAAGCACAAAAUCAAUAGCAAAAAAGCAAAGCAGAGAUAAAAAACUCAACUCUGUCUUAUUGCAUUGCAUUUACAAUUUGACGUGCUCCCUUCCAUCUUUCAUUUGAGAGGGGACAAAUGGUCCCCUGCCUUCCCAAACCCAAAGGACUAACUAAUGCUACAGACCUUAACCCUCUCUCGUCAGCCGUCUCCAGAAAUAAAUCCCUCAACUACCACCCUCUUUAACUUUAAAUACUAUAUAUAAUGCAAUACAAUACCCAAAAGUAGUCUGCGAAAAGAAUCACAAGGAGCUGCAAAGUGCAUGCCAAAGUAGAUAGCCGCAUAAUAAUAGCAUAAAAUUAAAAGGGGUCGCUCUUCCUUUCGCUUUCAGUUUCAGAUUUCAGUACUCAAAGCAAAGCAAAAGCCCCCCUUCAGUUUCUAUUUUUUACUGCCUUUAAUCUUGUUACUACUGCUAUUACUGCCAUUACUUUCUUGGCUUGGACUACUGUGCUUGUAUGGAUCUUUGUGUUCUUUCUGCUAUAUUACUUACCUUAGCUUUCCUAUUACCAACAUGGAAGCAAAUUUCUCUACUCCCUUGCUGUGCUUCUCAUCUCUCUCCUUUUCUUUUUCCCUUUCCCUUUCCUUGCUCACUUAACUAUCUUUUUUGUUCCUUUCACUCUCAACUCUCCAUACUAUCCUAAGCUUUCUCCAGAACACGGUAUGCCUUUCGAAGCUGUCCCAUGCUUCCUUUGCUUCUAUGUUGAUUGCUUCCAGUUCCACCCCCUUUUUAUCUCUUCCUCUUCUUCUGUCUCUCUUCUUUACCUUAUCUUGACACUGGAAGCUCUUUCACUUUGAAAAGCCUUGUUUACAAUCUCUCUAUACAUUUGUAUUCCUUUUUCUAGGUUGUUUUCCAAAAACCAACAGCUAUACUUUGUUUUCUCUUUCUGAGUUUUGAAAUAUCUAACAAGGAGGAUGCUUAUGAGAAGCAAUCGUUUUACUUUGGCUGUUUGCAUUCUAUGUUUGGGUAUUUGGUGCUGUGGCCAAGCAUACAAUACUGAAGAAGCAGCUCCCAUGGAGAAAGCUGAGCAAGCCGCUCUGUACUCUGCCAUACAAGGCUUUGUAGGUAAUUGGUGGAAUGGCUCAGAUCUCUAUCCGGAUCCUUGUGGUUGGACUCCAAUACAGGCAUGGUUCACCUCUUGAUUUUAAGUAGUAACCUUGUCGCAAUUGCAUUUACCAUCUCACUCUUUAAGGUCAAUGUUCGCAUGUAUAUCAUAAUAUAUGACCGAGGCGGAUGUAGUCUGCUUUGCUUAUUUAUCUUGAUUGGUUCACAUUAAUUAUUUGAUACAUAUAUAGUUAGGGUUCUCCUUUAUUUAAGCAAAAAAAAAAAAAAAAGAAAAGAAAAAAGAAGAGGGUGUAAAAAGUCUCUUCCUCCAGACUCCAAAACUAUACACGUUUAUCACUUUUCUCAGUAAAUUGAUAGAAAAGAAAUUAUUAGUGUUGCUAAUUGAUAAUGUGGUAAUAUAUAUUAUUUUUUUUUGCAGGGGGUCUCCUGUGAUAUCGUAGGUGGCCUAUGGUAUAUCACUGCUUUGAGCAUUGGUCCCUUUUAUGAAAACUCACUUGCUUGUGCCACUAAUGUGGAGUUUAGGCCACAGCUCUUCCAGCUCAAGCACCUAAAAUCUCUCAGCUUUUUCAAUUGUUUCGUAUCUCUUAGACAUCCAAUUACCAUCCCUGGUGAUAAAUGGGAAAAACUUGCUGGCAGCUUGCAGUCAAUAGAGUUUCGGUCCAAUCCAGGUCUCAUUGGCCAAGUUCCUACUAGCUUUGGUUACCUCAAAAAGCUCCAAUCUUUAGUCUUACUAGAAAAUGGGUUAACAGGACAAGUACCAACUAAUAUCGGCAACUUAACCAACCUGAAUCGACUAGUCCUGGCUGGAAACAGGUUUACAGGUCGAAUCCCAGAUAGUUUCGGAAGGUUAAAGAAGCUGUUAAUCUUGGAUUUAAGUAGAAAUUCACUCUCCGGCCAUUUACCUCUAGGUCUUGGUGGCCUGGCAUCACUCUUGAAGUUUGAUUUGAGUAACAAUCAAUUGAAGGGGAAGCUGUUUGCACGUAAUGCAUAUCUGAAGAAUUUGACCCUUUUAGAUGUGAGAAACAACAAGUUCUCAGGUGGGUUAAACCAGCCAAUUCUAGACAUGCAUUCUUUGGAAGAGUUGAUGCUGUCUUGCAACCCAUUAGGUGGAGAUAUUAUGAGGCUAGAUUGGCAAAGUUUACAAAGUCUUGUGGUGUUGGAUCUCAGUAAUGUAGGAUUGAAAGGUGAAAUUCCUGAAUCCCUAUCUGGAUUGAAGAGACUGAGGUAUCUGGGACUUGGUAACAACAAUCUGGCGGGCAAUCCCCCAGCAAAGCUAGCAUUUUUGCCUGAUCUUAACGGACUGUAUCUAAAUGGGAACAAUCUGACAGGAGUGCUUAAAUUCUCUGAAAUAUUUUAUUGGAAAAUGGGAAAGCGUUUUGGGGCUUGGAAUAAUCCAGAACUCUGCUAUCCAAUUGGGUCAAUGACAACAAGGAAUGGUCCAUAUGGAGUAAAGCCAUGCCAACGAGGUGUCACUUUGCUCGACCCUAAUUCUGGGGCUAAGUUGGGGGAUGGAAACUUGAACAACAAUUCCCAUUUCGUCGCCUCAUUGGGAUUCUCAAGCAAUGGCAUUGAUGGGCUUCGGCAGUUAAUUUUGGUAGAUACAUCGAUAACAGUACUACUAUUGAAUCUUUUCCUAUAGAUCCCUAUUUUGAAAAAGAGAAGCUAGUUAGGCCUCAUCAUUCACCUUUUCACAUGCUUCUUUUUCUUUUUCCCAUCUUGUAAUCCAAACAUCAAGCUGAUAUCGUUUCAUCCUCCAUACUUGCUAGAAAGCCCUAAUGCCCAUGUCUUCAUUCUCAAGUAAGGUCAUUUUCUUUUGGGAAGUAUAUAUAUAUACUUCCGUUUUAAUUUGUAAAUGAGAUCAGGUAAGUCGAUUUUUAUUUUAUUUUAUAGAUAUGUCAUUUAAUUAACAAAUUCCAAUUAUAACCAACUAAUUUAUUGAUUUAGAUUUUAAUCAUUUUUUUAAUCCAACAAUUAAAUUUUGCAACAUUCUUUUUCCUUGUGUGAUAUAAUAACGAUAUUAAAUAUCGUGGUGUAGGAUUGGAGUAUUUGCAAUGUUAUUGUGUCCAUUUUUAAUGUUUUAUUGUUAGUAAUAACGUAAUUUAAUUUUCAAGUUAUUAAUCACUAGAAGUUAUUGGUGAAUGUUUUUCAUUAGCAAUAAAAUUGGCCUACUAAUUUAAUUGAUUAAUUUUUUUAUCCUAGCCCACUUAAAACAAAUUAUUAAUUCUUUUAUUAAGAAAAUGAUUGAUGGAGGGAUAAAUCCUUUUUCUAUAACAACCAUAAAUGGGGAGGGUAAUGCGCUACAUCCUCCUACAUUGAGUACAAUGCUUAUGCCAAUCGAACUAAAACUCGGUCGACAACUCUUGGUUAUAUUGGUUGGAAGUGUUUGGAGUUGAACCCAAAACCAGUUGGCCCUCAUGUCAACCAUUAAUGAUCCAAUCUUUUAUUCAUUAGUUGUUUGUAGGUGAUAUAUGUUUAGUUUACUAGAGUUGGAUAAAUUGAAUAUAUUGUUUCUUGUAACAAGACUGAAUAUAUGGAUUAAAUCAAGCAAAGCAUGAAAAAGAAAAUUAAUUGUGAAUGAUAACCAGAAAGUCUGAUUUUGGUUGUUGAUAGAGAAACAGAAAAGGGAAUGGAAAAGUAGAGAAAUUGUGGAAGUAAUUGGUAUUCCAAGGCAUGGGGCGGUUAGGAGCUUUAAUAGAUUGAAAGUGAAGUAAGGGGGAAAGUGUAGGGUGAGCAAAGGCUAGUGCGGGUAGAGUUGCAGUGCUCUAUCCUACGUUGUUAUUUUUAAUGAUGAUACGAGAGUUGGGACCAGACUACAUUUUACUCUUAAAACAUACACAUAUAAUAAUGCAAACCUUCUGCCAGCUGAGACCGUUAUCUGUUCUGCUUCCUUUCUUCUUCUGCCUAUAGACUAUGGAGAGAGGCAGACAGCAUUCUGAUCUCAAUCUCUUAACCCUAAACCCAACCUUACUCCACCUCUUUAGUUCCAUGGACCCUCCUCUUCUACUUUUAACCUUUUUUUAUUUCACGAUAUCAGGACUCUUAACCUAAGCUUAUUUUCCAAAUCUCAGUUUUAUAAAGGUAGAGAUUCAAACCUCACAUGCAUGAAUUGAUUACAUUUUUACAAUGAAAUUUGAUAUAUUCACACACUCGGGUGGAAAAGAAUUAUGCAAAAUUUUACUUUGUUACAAACUAAAAGAAUAAUGAUAAUAAACAGCAUUAUAGUUAAAAAAUUGAUAUAAUAAUAAAUUUAAUCCUAUUACAUUAUAUGAAUUUAGUUAUAAUUUUAAAAAAUUAAUCCUCAAAGUUUACAAUUAAUUUCAAUUUAUUCUAAUUCUAAAAAAUUUAAAGAAAUAUAUAAAAAUACAUAAAUAUUUUCAUAAAAAUAUAAUAUAAUAAAAUUAAAUUAUAUAUAAUAUUAAUAUUAAUAUUAAAUAAAUAUAAUUAUAUACUAUUAAAUAAAAUAAGAAUCCCCCACUCCCCACCCUCGUCCCCCUCCCCCAUCUUUCCAUGCAAACUUCAAAUGCCAUCGUCAUGCAAAUUUCAGCCUCUCAUUAUACGUUUAAGUCAUUUCUCGGUGACAUAAAAAACAUAAGGAAAAAAAACGUAGGUUCUAAGGAACUAGAAUCUGCAACCACUGAGCAUUGGUCUUAGGUUGCUAAAUACAGACAGGGAUAACAACCUGGUCGUAUGUUGCAGUGUUGGAUCAGGACCUUCAGAUCCUGGUUAGUUUUAUCUACCAUUAUUUUUCCCUUUUAUUUUACAAAUAAACAAGGAAAGAAAUGAUGUAUUUGAGUUUUUGAGCAGGAAACUUUGGGUUGUGGAAUUGUGAUGAGUAUAAUCCUACCCUUUUGGAGGAGCAAAUGGGGGCCAUUGUUAAAAAAUAUAACCAAAGAUCGAUGAUGGGGGUGGCGGGAGGGCCGACAGAGACGGUGGUGGGGGAGGCCCGGAGGAGGAGAGGGAGAGAGGUUAGGGUGGGGGAUUUUUAUUUAUUUAAUAUUAAUAUAAAAUUAAAAUUAUUUUUAUAUUGUUUUGAAAAUAUUUAUUUAUUUUUAUAUAUUUCUUUGAAUUUUUUAGAAUUAAUAUUAAAUUGAGGCCAUUUAUAAAAUUUGGGGGUAUUUUUUUAAAAAUUAUUAUUAAAUUGAUAUAAUAUGUAAAAGUUGAGGGAUAAAUUUAUUAUCGUACCAAUUUUUUAACUAGCAUCAGCUUACUGUUUGUGACUUUAAGGGAAAUGACUAAAAUGAUCAAAUUAUGUAGCAUGUGUGCUUAAAUUAUAAACUUUUUAGUUUAAAUGUCUAAAAUAAUUUUUUUUUAUAAUUAAGUGACUAUUUAUAUAGUUUACCUUAAAAGUUAUAAAAUUGAAUAUAAAUCAUGAAAUAUAAUAAUAAUAAUAAUAAUAAUAAUAAUAAUGAAAAAUAAGAAAAGAUAUAAACGGAUGAUUUACUCAGUGGCGGAGUCAGGGGAUUGGCAGGGCCCCGGCUCCCCUAAAAUGAGAAAUUUUUUAUUUAGACUCUUUAUAAUUUAUAAAAUUUUAAAUUAGUAAUAGUAAAAUUACACUUUAUCCCCCGAAAAUAAUAAAAAUUAAUUUAAUUCUUUAAAAAUUAUAAAAAUAUAAACUAUUAAAAUUAUAAAAUUACAUUUUUACUAUAAUAAAAAUAUAUAAUUUAAUUUAAUAAUAAAAAUAUAUAAUUUAAUUUAAUUCCGCCCUCACGACUGAAUUUACGUGGAGUAAAGUAAAUAAUUUAUCUCCCUUAUGGAUAUUCAUAAUUAAAUGAUGGGACAAACCUCUGCUAUGCAAAAAAGGAAUACAGCCCAUGUUUGCUCUUCUGUGACAACAUCUCUUGAUACCCAUCAAAUUAUCUCUUGAACUUCUAUGGGUAAGUUUAGAUGGACGGUGCGUUUACCUGCAGUUAGUAUAAAAACAGCAGUGGCGGUGAGAUUAGAUAUUGCAGCAACACUGUAUCGUGAGACAAAAAGUAGGCUAAACGCACCGCACCGCACCCAAUCGCCCGUCCAAAUCCACCCUAUAUCUCCUUUCUUCUAAAGGUCCUGAGUGAAACCAAAUUUUUGAGGAAAGAUAUUUCAUUAUAUAUGCACCCUUUUUUAAUAAGAGGUAAACCUUUAGUGAAAAUUUUUAAGUUAUUUAAAUUGAUGAUAUCCUAAUUUAAUUUUAAAAAAAUUCAAUCCAAUAUAGUAAAAUGAAGUUUGAGCCAAAUUAAGUUGAAUAAUUAUGUUUAAUUUAAAUUUAAAAAAUUAAAUAUGUGAAAUUAAAAAGUUAAUGCACUAUUUGAUCUUGAACUUGGUUACUUUCCCACAUGAGUAUCUAGACUUUUUUUUUUAUCCACAUUAAUCCUAAAACAUGACAGCUUUUUUAAUUUGGUAAAGUGUGAUGGCAUAGUUCAAUAAGAUUUUUUCACGUUAUCACUUGAAAAUUUUAUAAUUAUUUAAUAUAUUUUUAAAAUUUCAGGAUCCAAGUUUAGGAAUCAAAUUGAGAAAAUUUGUCAAGAUUAAUAAGGACCAGAAAAGAUUUAAAGACCAGGUUGGAAAUGUUACUUUAUCCCUAAACUAAAACUUUGUUGGCAUGACUAAAUUCUAACUAGAUCCCAUAGAUUUAACAUCAUAUACAUUUGAAAACACUUUUAAAACAAAAAUAAAUGAAAAAAAACUUAAUAACUCAGUUGAUUAAAACCUUAAAUUUAUCAUUUUAAAAAAUGUAUAUUUUUUCGUAUUUUAACUUUCUUAUAGAAUUUUUUUCUAAUUUCAUCUCCUUUCUUUCUUUUUCUUUUUUAGAAAAUCUAAAGAUUAUUUUGUAAUUAUUUUUGAAAAGUUACUUAGUUUUUCUUUAUUCGAGUUUUUGUGUUGUAAAAAUUAGAUUCGACUUAAACUCAAAAAGUUGAAUUACUUAUUUAAGUUUAUUCAAAAAACUUAAUAACUUGAAUCAAUUAACUCAAAAAAAAUGUUUUCAAAAUUUUAAUUAAAUUGAGUUUUGGUACCACUUUUAAUUGAGUUAUACAUUGUAACAGACCCAAUUAGCCCGCGCCCGCACAAACCAAAAAUAAACUAUUUAACUCAAUGUCCACAGUCCAGUUUUUACAAACCCAAGUAAUAUCAAACUAGCCCGCUAAACCUAAGGCCCAAUAACCCAAAUACCCAAUUCAACGAAACCCUAAAAUCUAGCAGCCUCCAACACAGCAUCCAGCCGUCGCACGACUCUGAACCAGCCCUCCUCCACGCGCGCCACGCCUUGCGCGCCGCACCUCCACGUUCGUACCUGUAAAAGGACUAAGAGAGUCCAAUAGCAACAAAAACAGUGUAAAAGUAGGGAAAAUAGGAAAUUUCGGGCUAUAAAAAAGCCCCGAAUUUAUGUAUUUUACACACACGAAUGAAUCAAAAGAAAUCAGAAAAAAAUCAAUUCAAAUAUCAGUCAUUCUCAAAGGUAGUUUUUUUUAAAUAUUUUUCGGCUUAUUUAUUUAUUUAUAUUUAUUUUUGUUUGUUUUAAAGAAACUGAAAGUAAAAAGGGUAAAAAUCAUACCUUUAUUGCGAAGGAGGUGCCGAUUCCGAUGAAAAUCGGCGUUCUUGGGUUCCGGGCGUUGAAAAAAACAUUUUAAAAAUUUUUCACCCACCGCGGACGGCGGCGCCGUCGCUAGUGACCGGCGGCCGCCACGGUGGCCAACGGUCGAAUCCCUGACCGGAAAUUGGGAGGAGGGGAGAAAUGUUGAGAGUUUUUUUUUUGUUUUUUGAAGAAGAAAUGAGAAAAUGAAGAAAAAAAAAACCUUUUGAUUUAUAUAGAGAAGCAAAACGACGUCGUUUUGCUUAGGGGUUUAAGAGCCAAAAAUGGCGCAGUUUCAGGCACUUGACCAAUGUGGUGACCCGACCCAGGGAAGGAUUCGCGUGUUUUUGGAAUUUAGGUUAUUCACCCUUUCGGUCCUUCUACUUUUUUGGUUUAUUUUAAUUUAGUCCUUUAUUCUUUUUUUAUUGAUUUGGCCACUAAACUUUUGCGUGUUUCAAUUUAGUCCCUGGCUCGCUAGAAGGGACAUGUGUCCAGGGAAUUGGGCUAUUUGCCCAUUUUGUCCUCAACCUUGCACGCCAUUUGGCUUUAGUCCUCUUUAUUUAUUUAUUUAUUUAUUUAUGAUUUUUACCCUUUAAUUUCAUUUUUUGUCCCGAUUUAGUCCCAAACCAGUUAGACUUCAAUUUAUUUUCGCCGAUUAUUUAUUUUAAAUUGUUCUAUUAUUAUUUACUUUAGUUUUUUUUUAUAUAUUAUGCAUUUUAAACUAUAUUAAAUUAUUAUUCAUUUUAUAUAUCCAUAUAUUAUUGGUUUUAAUUCAAGUUUUAUUUUAAAUUUCAUCUAUAUAUUAUUUAUUAUAAGCUAUAUAUAUUUUCUCCGUACACCCAGAUACGAAGGAUUAGCACCCUCGUAACGCCCAAAAACGGGUUCGAGAGUCAGUUACUUACGAUAUUUCGAUUUCUUCAUAGAAACAAGAUGACCAAACUUUUUUUUAGUUUUCAAAUUAAUAAAUUUCAAUAAAUAUUUUAAAAGGAGAAUCGUUUUUUAAUCUUUUUCAUUCGACCUUAAGACAUUAAAUAAUUAAUUCGGUAUCAAUUUUGGGCGUUACGAGGGUGCUCCUUCCUCGUACGUAACUGAUUCCCGAACCCGUUUUUCUAAAACUCGCAGACCAAAAUCAUUUUUUAGGUGAUCCAAUCACACUUCAAUAAAAGAUUGGUGGCGACUCCCAAUUUCGCUUUAAAGGUCGGCCCCUUUUUUUGCAAAAUAAAAAUGACUUCGACAUACAUGUUACAUUAUUUUCGUGUAAAAUUCUUGUAUCCUUUUUCGAAUGAUAUAUCUAAGGGCGUCAAUGGGGCGGGUUUCGUAGGAUCUCGCCCCGCUUCGCACCCAAUUGGGCGAGGAUGAGUACAAAUUUCACGAGUGGUGGGGUAAGGAUAUGGACAAAAAUUAGACCCAUCGUGGGUAGCAUGGCAGGCGUGGGUAUGACCUCGUACCCAUCUUAUCCCCGCCCGCCCUACAUAAUAUAAUAAGCAUAUUUAAAAAAUAAACAUUUAUAAAAAUUUAAUUUUGAUAACAAUACUCAAUUAAUAUUCACUGCUAUUUAUUUUAGAAAAAAAGGAACGCACUCCACAAUUUCUCACCAGAUUAAAAAAAAAAGAGAGUACUCAACACAGUUUCUUAUAUGGAGGUUCAAGUGAAGUUAAAGAGAUACAACGUUCACAAUUGAUAGAAGAAUUAGAAGAUGAAUGUGAUAUAGAAGUAAUGGGAGUGACAUGUAUUGAUUAAUAUUUGGAAUUUUUGCACUUGUGUUGCAUUUGAAGACAUUUAUGAUGUAUUUGAGAUAUUGUUUGUAUUUGGAUAUUAUGUAACGACUUUAUUUUCUGAAUUUUUUAAACUUAUAUUGAUAUUUUAUUUACCAAUUAAAGGGUCGCGACUUUUUUUUUUAAAUGGUGACAUUUGAAAUAAUGUUACAUAUGUGGUGGGAGUUCGAAUGACAGAUAUUUCAUACUUUUUUCAUAAAAAAAUUGGUUUAUAUUUAUUUCACCGUUACUUGUGAAUAUAUUAUAUGAAGUGGGUCGCGGAUAUAGCAGGAAUUAGGUGGGUUUGGGGAUCCACGUGGGUGGUGGGGCAAGGAUGCUCCUCUCGCACCUGCCUCGUCCAAUUUAUAUCCCUAGAUAUAUCACUAGAGGUGUUCAUGGACCGGAUGAGUUCGAUACAGAUUUAAGCAUGAUCUCAAACUUGAUUCAACCUGAAAAGUAAGCCUGAAUUUUUUUUCAAACCUGCUCUCAUGUUUAUAGAUGGAUAACCGAAUAAUAAUUGGUAUAGAUGGAUGAAGCCCAAUAAUGCAUGAAAGCUCUAAUGGAGCAAACCUUAUCCAUUAAAGUACACAAAGUGUUCCAUUCGCAUUUUAUUACAAACAUCACAAACGCAACAAUCAAGUAUUACGGGUGUUCUACUAUGAAAUAUUAGCCUAACCAUAGAUAACAGUUCAUCUUUAUAAUAGCUACCCUGCUGCAACAGGUUAUAAAAAUUCCUAAGGCUGCCCACUAAUGAAACAUGUACUAAUUUUCAAAUACUAUCACAUCAGGUUAGACAGUUGAAAUAGUAAUUUGUUGAAGGAAAGAAAGAGGAUUAUAGGUUAAAACGCAAUAAUUGAACCUGUAAUUUAGAAUAACAUCAAUUCAAGCUUACAUCAAAGGAAGAAAAAAAACAAAACCAAGCUAUUAUUUAGCUGCUCCCUAAGCUAAUCUUUGACAUUUGUGACAACCAAUUUCCUAAUUAUAUGUGUAUUUGGUAGGAAAAAAUAUUACUUGGCUGCUCCCUGAGCUACCAUGUAUGAAAGCAGUUGGUUAGAUUGUUGGCUCUUCCUUCCUUGCACAGCUGCUCUGUUUGAUUAACUUUUGUAAUGAAUUACAACAUUUUAGCUCAAGGAAUGAGGACUAAGGUAAACUAAAAUAUGAGAUUGAUAUUGGCUGGCAGUGAAGAAAAAAAAAAAUCAUAAACCAAGUCCCUUUUGGAAAUUUUAGAAGCAGGGCAUGAGAAAACUGCUUUGUAGUUUUGACAGGGCAAAGCUGACAGAGACCAGAAAGUGCCACCUUGACCCUGAGUCAUCCUCGAUCUGGGAUCAGCUUGGGUUGGUGAAAUGGACGAUCAUUUAACUAUACAACUAGUGUAAGGGCCACAUAAGGGGAAAAAAGGUCAUUUAGUUAUUUUUUUAAGUUAUCUGUUCCACAACAAAGUCGUGCCAUAUGGCAAUGUAUUGCUUCAAGUGUCAACAUAGCCAAAAACCGUCGUGUAUUUCAUGCUCUCAGGCAAACCUCAAAGUUGACAAUGAGGAGUUUUAUAAUAAGCGCUCAGGAAGAGUGUGAUAAUUAUAAAAACUAUUUCCUUGAUCUCCGGUAUUAGGCCCUGUGGCUGUAGCUGUGGGAUGUGAAUGUCGGUCUCAUUGGGUGUUGAUGAUAUCCUAAUAUUUUUGCCUAAUUUUUGCUCCCGGAUUAAAGUCGAACGCAAAGCACGUUGACAUUUGACAAUUGACACAUCUUGAAAUGGGCACCUACCCACUUGGCACAUGUUCAAUUCCCCAAGGCGCAAGGCUAGGCUAGUUCAAAGUCAUGACAUGGACUUUUCCAAUAGUUUUUAUUCCCUUGAUUAUGUAAUGCAGCCAAGUUAAGUUGACAAAGUUGCAGUUGAGGAAUUUCGUUAUGCAGCCGGUGGCUGUCCAUGAGAUUAAGAUAAGAGAGUUUCUUGUAAGUUUCUAUUGAUUUGAAUAUAUUUCUACUGGGAAUUGUAUGCCGAAUACAGAUGUCUAUCAAUGUCAGCUUGAAUUUGUAGCUUUGAUUUCUUUCUUAUAAGACCUUCCUACGCAAAAGAUCGCCUACUGCACACUAUUUUCAUCUUUAAAAAAAGGAUUUAUUUAUAUCCACACAAUAUAUUUCUAUGACCAUAAUUCCUUUAUACUGCUAAUGAAAAUAAAUUAAAUUCUGGGUUAGAAAGCUCUAGGAACCUUUCAAAAUUAUGCCUCUAAAAAGAUUGUUCUUCAUAUUAAUCAUCAGCUUUUAAAGUAACAAAAGCUUUGAAUGGUCAAGUUCAUACAUAAUGGACCAUAUAUACACAAAAUCAUGCUUUUGAGUUUCGAGUGUUGGAAAAGGCAAAAGAGAUAGCAGAAACAAUUGCUCCUCCUGUCGUUUUCACAAGGAAAAGGCAAAGCACAGAGGCAUUCAUUUUUAGAAAUUAGACGCAGCCAUAACGUAGCCUUCACUAGAGUUGGCACGACUGCUAUCUUUUUAAGCCAUUCAAUUCAUUUCUUUCCCCAUCAAAUCAUGCAUGUCAUAAAGCCCAUCUACAUACAUGCACACAUAUAUGUUAAUUCUUACCGUCUAUGAAAUCCCAUUUUUUUUUUCUUUAUCUGCGUGCGCUACUAGGUUAUCUUUUGUCAACAAAAUUAAUACAACUUAUACAAGUAACAUUGAAAAAAAAAAAAGAAAAAGAAAUCAUAUAAGACUUUCCUCUCUGCCAAACAAACAGAAUGGUUAGGUACACCAUAUAUCGCAGGCUUUGGAUUAGAGUGGACCAGUUUGUACAGUAUAAUUAUAAAAAAUGGGUCAUGUUAUUUCUUUUUAAAUGGCUUCAUCUUCCACUUGUUUACAUUUCAAUUAGCCACGCAGAAGUGAUAGAAAUUUCUAGGAAUUUCUGCCUCUCCUGCUUAAAAUCACAAAAUCGUACUGCCAAGUAACUUUCAGAUCAAGAAACCAGAAAUUUAAACAAGAUGAGAAAAAUAAAAAUAAAAUAUCAUAAACUAAAAGUCUAUGCCGGCACCAAAUACUUACAAUAAUUCAUGACUCCAAAAAUGAAAAGACUUUCAAAAUUAAAUUUCCAAAGCGUUGACAAUACUUAAAUCAAAAUUUCCACAGUUCAUUAGCGUGCGUUUCACUCUCUUUAAUUUCCUCGUCCUUGCUUCCCCAUUUGCCACCUUUGUUUUUUCCUCCUCCAAUCACCAUACCAUUAUUAUACUUGUUAUAUAUAAACAAAAUCUUUCACCUUAUAUGCUAACUUGUCUCCCCUUAUACCAGUAAAAAACUACAAACCUUUAAAAGCUCUUCUUCUAAAACCCUACUCCCACUUCCCAAAUAUCAAAAGCGAUUUGUUUUCUCUUCUUUUUCAAAUGGCUCCUUCUUUAUCAUUGGCACUUCCUUUGCAAUCCAAGAAGAUUUCAUGCACAAGGCAGCAGCUUUCCAAUAUCAUAUAUGUCGUGUUUCUGAUUACACUUCUUGCUGGCUCUAGUUUUGCCACUAGGCCUGGCAAAACCAUAAUUGUGGACGAUACAGUUUCCAUGACCGUGUUCCCGAGAAAGUACGAGACGGGCUUUCGAUACCAAGGACAGAUGUUCAACUUCUUCCCCAAAGGGAUCCCUAUACCACCUUCUGGUCCUUCUAAAAGACACAACUCUGUAGUCGAUUCUACUCGAAACUGAGUAGGCAGUCCUUUUUUCUGUAGUCUCAACUCUCAAAGCUUCUUUUUUCAUCUUUCCUCAGUUUUUUUUCUUUCUUAAUAUAGCUGUUAGGAUUGUUUGCAGCGAAGGGCUUGUUUUAGGGGGGGGGGUGAUUGAAUGUGAAGCCCAAUGAAAUCGGGUCAAAAACAGAGCUCACCCCUUUCAGGCUUUUUGAGAUUUUUACUUAGAUAUACUGUAUAGAAAUUAUGAUUUGUUUGUUGAAAUUUUCUACUGGUAUUCGUUUCAAUAUUAAAAAAAAAAAUUGCAGCUGUAUGUACACUUGGUCGAAAUGAAUUCAAUUUUGUGACGAAUUAUAAUGAAUCAAAUGCUUUUUUUUUUUUUGCAUAUUCUUUUUACUAAACAGGGACAGUAUAUGGUUAUCUCCCUCUCUCUGUUUUUGGUUUUGACUUUAGAUUGUGAAGAAAAGCCAGCUAUUGGAUCUACUUUCAUUGCAGUAGGGGAGAAAGCUCCAAUGGUUGCGUUUGGUAUUGGUAUAGACUAUAGAGUUGGGCGCCUUCUUGGCCCACUUAAUUGGGGUCGUACAUUCAAUGAGGAAUAUAAAGGAACCUUGUUUUAUAUUCACUAUUUCUUUAUACAAACAUCAAGAAGUAUUGUCUUAGUUUAUUUAGGUUACGAUAUGAAUAAAUAGAUUUUAUGAGGCCUUGUGUGCGCCCCCAGACGUUGUUAAUUACGUUGAGUGUGUUUCUUAUUUAGACCAAAAGCUGUGUAUUGGAAAAAGCGGAGGUUGAUGGCAAAUUUCUUCCCCACGUGGAACGCAAAUUAGCGAAACUUCAUGAAUUCUGAUUUCGGGCAUUUUAGAUAAGCCUAAAUGAUAUUUUAGAUGUAACCGUGAACCUCAUGCAGCUAUAAGAAUUUUGCUUUUCAUAUUUGUCACGUUUGACCAUCUAAGAUACAUAUAUAUUAAAUUAAGGAGGAUUUAUACAAAAUUAAAAUAAUAAUAGUACGGAAAUGCCACCUUGACCUUAAUUCAUGGGGACAGGUAAGAUCUGAACCUUCAUGUUGAUGGAUCAUGGCACAUACUUGCUUGAAUUUUGGAGACAUUUUCAACCACUCUUCGUAAAUUUUAAAGGUUAAUUACAGUGAGUUAAUCAAUAAAUUAUUGGAGAAAAUAGAGGUGAGCUUCUUUUCAAGUAAUUGGAUUAAGUUUGAAUCUGAAGUCAUUAAUAUUAGGAUUGUUUUACCUGAAUAUUACCUCUUAUCCGAACAAGAUUAGACUUAAAGUUUAGAAUGAAUAAAAAUACUUGUGGUUAUACUAAAAGAAUGAAAAUAUAUCCCUUGACUUUUACUUCGUUUUAAAAUGAUGUGGGCCGAUUUAUCUCCAUGUAAUUAUAUAUUAGAUUCUUUUCUAGAGUUUAAUUAAGCUAAUUUGGUAGAUAUAAUUAUUCUAUCUUUUUUCACUUGAUUUCAACGUUACUCAAAUUUGCAUAAUUUGAACUAGAACUUCUCUAAUAAUUUCAUGCUAAACAAGUUGGAGCUAUGAUAGUAUUGUAAACCGUAAAGAAUAGAGAUGAGAAAUGGGUUUGGUUUGAGUAGGCGGCUAAAUAUAGGCAGGAAUAUAUAGCAUCUCAGACUUCACUUUUGGGAUUAAAUUUUAGUUAAUUGGUGGGUCCAAAAUUCUAAAUUCAUGCAUAGGCAUAGGUAUCGCACGGUCAUAUUGAAAACGUUUUAGUUCAAAACUCUUGAUGCUGCUGCAAGUACAAGAUCAUCCCCUGUUUUUGCAAUGGCCGGAUUGGUUGUCUGGCAAAGCUCCAAAAAAAAAUUAGAGUAUGUCUCUAUUUUAGUGCUAUUUACAGGCGGGCCUGACAAUUUUAUAGCAAAGGAAAUAGGCAAUGAAGUCAAUAUACACAUGAAUGGUGGGCAAGCUGUUGCCAGACUUGUUCCAAAUCUAAAAUCAAACAUGAGAAUGCAUAGUAGAGUAUCCAGAAUUGCAUUUAGACUGACCAUAAGCUAUCCCCUAGAUUUUAGCUCUUCUUUAAAGAACAGGAUUAGUUUGGUUUCAGACAUGAUGUAAACUAAGAUAUAUGCUUUGAGUUUAUUUAAGUAAUUUGGAAUACUACAUAUAUCUUCCUGCUGCAAGACAAAGCUACGUAUAAGAAGAAGGUAUGCUAGUCCAUUUAAUUAAUUUAAUUCUAUUAGUAAGUCCUAUUGAUCUGAAGGUGCUUUGAGAGAAGUAAAUUAAGAAACAGCACGAGUCAUGGAGGCAUUUCUUCUUGCAAUGGUUAUGCUAUGCAUGUAGGUCUAAAAAAGUGUGCUAUUUUGCGGUUUCCACGCGCAAUAAAAUCCAGAUCUCUAAACGAAGAAAACUAAAAUUUCCACGCCUUCCUUUUCUAUUAUUGUAUGUAAUGAUGAGUGUUCAAUUUUUUUUUAAUUGUACGAAGGUUAGUAUUCAUACCAUACAAAUAGAGACAUACUCUAAUUUUUUAGUAUGCUUAAAGUUUAAUAAUUUAGUAUCAAAAUUUCAAGAAUUCAUCAAUAAUAAUUUUUAAAAACUUUAACAAUUUUACAAAUUGAUAUACGGACUAAGUAAAUCAAACUCCCACAAGUUCAAAAAUAUAAAAUUUAAAAAAAAUAAAAAUUGUUUAUCAAACAAGGGACCAAAGUUUGAAAGCUUCAACCCCUUUUUUUUUCGUGAAAAUGAAAAAAGAUGAGCAAGAAUGUCUUUUUUUCUUCUUUUAAUUUAAUAUAUAUACUUUCAUUAACUUUAAUUAAUUACAAUUUAUUGAAUUAAAUUAUAAUUAACUAAACAUCAAUCUAAAUUAAUUAAACAUAGUGGAUUGUGACGUCAACCACCAUAGUUUGAUACAUUUAGAAGGGUUCAAUUGCUUAAUUGAUCUUUCGGUUAAUUAAAAUUCUAUAAUGAUUAACUUUAAUUAGCUAUUCAAUUGAUAAAAUUAAGGGAUCAAAUUUUAAUUAAAUUUUAUAUUAACUUUACAAAUAUUAAUUAAUAAUAUUUACAGACUCGAACAUUGAAAAUGAGAUUUUAAAAUCACUAUUUCUGAUAUCACUGAAAAACAAACUAUUACAAUACAGACAAAUUAACAUAUCAAUCCAUGUCUGAAACACAAAAAUCUAGGCACCCAAGUAAAAUUUGCAUGCACAUCAUUUUACAUACCUCUAAAUUUGAUCCAAAAGUUCAAAUAAAAACAAAUCAUUGUAACAACAUGACAUAUAAGUGUCAAGAGACCAAACCAAUGAAAAGUGUCGAUAUAAAAUCCAACUAGGAUCCUUGUACAUGCCCAAACUAAAAAGAAAACUGCUAAAACUUAUUACAUAUCAGAGUAUAGUCGAAUGUACCCCUUUGCUAAGGUUGCUUGAGCCUCACAAGAUACGAAUCCUCAAUACCUGCGCACGAAAACAAUGUUCAGUGGUGCAAAACAUAUCUCCAAAUAUAUUAUAUGCUAAUACUAUAUUGUAAAGCAUACUAAAACAAUAUUAAAGUUAAAUAUUAUCAGACUCUAUUAAUCAUGCUUCAAAUAAGAACACAAGAUGACAUUAUUACAUAUUAAAAGUCCAUUAAUCAAUAAUUAUAUAAUUUUUAUGGCAAAACUAACAUUAACAUGUUUGAAAUCAUAUCACAAGAUCGUCCUAAACUCUAAACUCUAAUGCUCAAUGAAUCGAAAUUAAGCUCAUAAAUGAAUAUAUGGAUAUUCAUCCAAUUCUUCGAAAAGAUAGUGCAUAAGUAUAAAGAGGUGCACAAUAACAAAACUUCGAUACAUGUUGAACAUAAAUUACCAACCAAAAUCUUGAGGUUGCAUAAAACACUACAAAACAAAUCUCAUGAAUGCACAAAUGCUAACCUGAAACAGAAUAGCAACGACUCAAACAUACAUCCUAUGACAUGCCAACUAUACCAAAAACUAUCUAAAGUCGUUUAAAUGGGUUGUUAUCAUAUUAAACAUAAUUUGACAUUUACAAUCUAGUCACUUAUAGCACAUGAAUGAGCAGCAUCAUAAUUCCAGUAACCAUUUUCCAUUAAGUAGAAUUUAGUCAUUAACACGAACAUUCACUCCAUCAAACAUAAUACUAAGUAUAUGAUCACAUCAUUAUACCAUCAUCAACCAUACAUAACGUAGGAACAAAUUCUAAGCAUUUCAAUUUAGAUAAUAACAAAAAAUAAAUUGGAAAUUAAAUUGCACAAAUCGAAAUUGCUCAAGCUUCUGUGAUUUUCUCCUUCCCUUCGAUUUUGAAUUUUCAUCGACCUCUUUUACUUCAAAAUCAUUAUCAACAUAACAAGUUAGCAUAACAAUAAACAAAAAUCAAAGCCGCUAAAAAAAAGCAUGCGUUGCAAUCAAGCGAAACUCCUUCUCACUUCUAAAUCCCUCUCUAGGUAACUUUAUCCGAAACUUAAAUCUAACCUUAAAUUCAUACUUUAAGAACUUAAAACUAAGUUUAGAACACUAAAACCUCUACUGAGAACUCAAGAUUACAACACAUUCCUUUCAACAAUGACAAAACUUGACAACUCACCUAAGACUUCAAUCAAACUUGAGAUUUGACAUUCUAAAGGUAUUCUAAACUAAAGAACAUCAAGAAUCUAACUUGAAAACAACCAAAAACCAUUGAAUCAAGCCUACUCUCAUUAUAGAAAAAAUAACGUAAAUAAAGAGAAAAGAGGGUAAAUGCUUAAAUCAAAUCUUUCAAAGCUAAAGUCAAUUAAUAAGGUUUGAAAAUCAUAUUACCUUGCUAAAAAUCAAUGCUUGGAUCCAAGAAAACUCAAGAAUCAACUUUUUCCUUCAAUGGAGAAUUUUACACGAAAGUUAGAACUUUUUUUUUGGAAAAUAUGAUUUUCAAAAGAUAAAAUGUUAAAAUGUUUGGAUAGAAAUCUACUCAAACAAAGCUUGCAUCCUUGAAGUCUUGUUUAUGAGAAAAUAAUUUGAAUGGUGAAAUGAUAAAUGUUAUAUUGUUCCCUCCAACUACUCUAGACUAAUGGGCCAAUUUCUAUUUAUUCCCUAAUCUAAUUCUUAUAUAAACCCUUAUAAAGCUCUAAAUCUAAUUUAAAUGAAUUUAGAUAUUGACCCAAAGAAUUUUACAACCCUUGUGAUCAAGUCCUCACUUCACUACCCACUAAUUAAUAUCAAUUAAAACAUAAUAAAUGCACUAAAUAUUUACUACUUGACUCACAACUCAACCUAAGGCUCAUUCAAGAAUAGCUCAAUUCAUAAUUUCGAUUCAAAAUCAAUCUUUUUCCGAUUUUGGAAAAAAUUAGGGUUUUAUAAAUGACUUUACAAUGUUAACCCAAUAUUGCCUUUAAUGACCCAUAUUUACAAUUCUAGCCCAUACAUAGAAUUAGGCUCACAUCAAUACCCUUCUUGCAAAGAAUCCUAGUAGUCAAGGAUUAAAGCUUGUGAUCUCAUCACCUUCAUGACCAUAGGCGUACAAAAUAGUCGUUAUAGGCAUGUACAUCUCCUAGUAAGUAAUGAAAGAAUGAUCCAACGGAGAGAGGAGUUGUAAGAAAUGGUUCCAAUAACAAUUUAAUUCUUUUUUUUUAUAUCGUUUAAAUGGUGCUAAUAUGACAUUUUAAAAGUGUCACAUAAUCACAUGCUUUUCUAAAGAAAGAAUUAUAUAAAAAAUUAAAAGUUUUUUAUGAAUGCAUGUUUAUAAUGAACUUGGACAAAUGAACGUUCAAGUUCAUCCAAGUCUAAAUAAUCAUUUAUCUAGAUUAAUUUUAGACGUGAUAUUUUAAAUAAUUAUAUAUAUAUAUUUUUGUAAUUUUAUAAAAUAAUAAUUUCAAAUAAACUCUCACCUUAUAGAAUUUUUUGAAUUUUGAGGAGAUGAACUUAGGUGUCCAUUUGUUCAGGUUAAUUAUGAUUAUGCACUUUUCAAUAUUCUUUUACAUUUUUCUUCAUUUAAAAAAAUUAAAAUAAGUUUUUAAAUUUUUUAAAUCUUUAUGAUUUUAUAUAUAUUUUAAAAUAAUUUUUAUAUAUUCUAUAACUUUCAACAUUUUUUGAUUAAUUUUAUAAUUUUUAUAAAUUUCUAUUUUCGAAUAUAUAUUUUUGAAUUCCAAAACUUUUAAAAAUUUUCUAUAAUUUUAAUUAUAGAUUUAAAAAAUAUAAGGGACGUGAUGCUGUGUUGAUAUCUUGCUGCGGUAGUGUUGUGGGACUUGGUGAGUAGUGGUUGUUUUGUGGUUUGGACGUCUGUCCAUCAUCAGCUAGGAACUAGAUAGUUUCUGUUUGAGUGGGCUUUACUCCAUUUUGUUUUUGUGAGUUCUAAGGGCCCAAGGGGCUUGACUCGGUCUGGGCCUCUAACUAAAAUAAUAGUAAGUUUAGAGUCACAUGCAUGUUAAUCUGACUUUUCAAGAACUUUGUAUAAGAGUUGCAAUAUCUUCAUAACAAUAUGUACUUGGACAAUAAUGAUUGAUUUUGCUUGGGAUUGGAGUUAACUGAGGUUUAUUAUUAUUUUUUCAAUAAUUUUAUUAUAGAUUUUAAUUAUAUCUAAUCUUUUUAACAUAAUGUCUAGAAUUAUUCAUAGUCCAUUCUCAACCUAUAAAUAGGAAGAUAACUCGUUUCAACGCACUCAAACCCACGUCUUUCUACAUUGACAACUAUACUCAUACUAAUCAAUCGAUAACUUAUAGAUAAGUACUUCCUAAUGAUACAAUGAUUAUUAGGUGAAAUUAACCAAUGAUGUACUUGUUCUAACUAAUUAUGCUUUAAUACUAUUGAUGAUCUGGAAAGGCUAAUGUGAAUGUUAAUAAAUAUUUUAGAUUUCGUAGACGAAACUACUAAGAUGGCACCUACUAGCAGGAUAUCUAUACCUUAACUAAAAGUCUUCUCCUAAACCAAUAGAAUUUCGGAAUUUUGAUUUGAGGGUGUUUGAUUAAGCAGCUAAGCAGUGGGGAAAUAUGAUUGAAAGGGUAGUUAACAGAUAAAGUUUUCCAUUCUUUCUUUUUAAGUUAAAAGUUUUAUUAUAAAAAAAUAUUUUGUUAUAUAUGUUAAAAAUUAGGGGAGAAGAUUACAUUAACACUGCUGAACCAGAUUUCAAAAAAGGAAUUUAAUUACUGCUCAGGUACGUCAUUAGAGGUAUCCAUCGGAGUGAGCCUAAUAACUAAUACUUCAUAUUUUAUAGGCUUAUUAAGAAGGCAGAUGCUAACCACAAGAAUUUUUAUUUUUAAUUUCUUUACUUCGAGUAUUUUUGAGAGUAAGCGAAGUAUUAUUGUAAUUAUUAUGUUAUAUAGUUAUUAUUUUUAGUUUUAUAUAUUGUGUUUUAAUUUAUUUUAUAUUUUGCAUAAUUUAUUAUGUUAGUUCAAUUUAGAAAAUUAAAUUGUGUAUUUGUGUCGGUAUAUCAUAUAUUGCAUACUUCAUAUAUAUCUUACAUAGUAAUUCAUUUUGAUUCUAAAUUUAUAAACUUAGAAGUUAAACUAAUGCAUAUAAUAUAUAUUUGUAUAAUUAAAUAAAAGUUAUCUAAAUGCAUGAGAUAAUUUUUAUGGAGCGGUUGUUAAAAUUUUUGUGAAACACCUAUUUGGUAUGGGUUUGAGUCGUGUUACCCUCAUCCCUUACCUUAAUAUUUUAUAAAAAAAAUGACUGCGAAUGAUUAAUUUUUAACCACAUGUGUCAUUAAAAUUAUUUUGGAGAUAAAUAUGUAUUAGGUCAUUUGUUAUGAAUAUCUUAUUAUUAAGUGGAUGUCUAUCAAGAUCAAUAUAAGCUUAGUGUACUUUAGGACUCUAAUAUUCAUUAGAAGUAUAAUUUUAUUUUAUUUAUAUUUCUUACAUUUAUAAAUAUAGACUUUAGAGAAGCAUUGUAAAUAACUUAUUGAUCAAUAAAAAAUCGUUCUCUUUUGCACUCCUAUUUCUUGUUCUCUAUUCAUUAUUUAUUUCAUAACAUAUUAUCAUCACGAUACUCGAUAAAAAAAAUACUGUCUAAAAACUCGCCCACGAGAAAAAGUUUUUUUAGCUUCUUUAAGCGUUAGCCAUUUGAGAUUUUUUGUCAAAUUUUGUCAGGGAAAAGAAACCUACUGUUACUAAAGAGAGUUGAGCUUAGGUCCCAAGUCUCCAUGGUCGUUUAACCACUUAUCUACGCACGAACCAUUACUAGUUUAUUUUAAGAAACUUAUAAAAUCAAUUGCUGUCGGAGAAGAAAAGAAAGAAAGAUCGCUAUACAAGGGAAUCUGUAAUACCCCUAACCCAUAUCCUUUGCCAGAACAGGGUUACGAGCAUUACCAGAAUUUACAGAUCAAUUUUAGUCAUUUAAUAUCAUUUAAAUAUUCAUAUCAGAAUCUAAUCAUAAUCAAUCAUAUUGUCCCUUAUAUGAGCCCUCGAGGCCCAAAAUAUGUAUUAGAAACAAGUCGAGACUAAAUCGGGUACUCAAAGAAUUUUUCGCCAAAUAUCAAAAAAAAUUUUAAGGUAUAGGGGACACAUGCCCGUGUGGCCAGGCCGUGUGUCUCACAUGGUCAAGAGACACGCCUAUGUCUCAAGCCAUGUGGACAUUCGAAAUAGGGGCACACGGCUGUGUGUCUCACAUGGUCAAGAGACACGUCUGUGUCUCAGGCCGUGUGGACAUUCGAAAUAGGGGCACAUGGCCGUGUCCCAGCCCGUGUCCAAAUUAGAGUGCUUAUUGACUUGGGUUACACGGUCAAGCCACACGCCUGUGUGCUAGGCCGUGUGAGCAUACUAACUUGCAAUAAAUAGGUGCAUGGGUCACAUGGCCAAGUCACACUCCCGUGUGUUAGGCCGUGUGAAAAAUUUUGGGUAUUCUGUUUUGAAAUUUUAAAGAUGCACGGGACACACGGCUUAGCACAUGAGCAUGUGACUUGGCCGUGUGACCCUUGCACCUAUUUAUUGCAAAUUAGUAUGCUCACACGGGCAUGUGGCUUGGCCGUGUGACCCAAGUCAGUAAGCACCCUAAUUUGGACAUGGGCAUGUGGCUUGACCGUGUGACCCAAGUCAUUAAGCACCCUAAUUUGGACACGGGCUGGGACACAACCGUGUGCCCCUAUUUCGAAUGUCCACACGGCCUGAGACACAUAUGUUUCUCUUGACCGUGUGAGACACACGGUCGUGUGCCCUUAUUUUGAAUGUCACAAAUAGCUGAGACACACGCUCGUGUCUCUACCCAUGUGGACGAAAAUAGGUCAUUUCUAAGGCCACUUUUCUCACCCAAUUUGUCUUUUACCUACAUUAACACUUCAACACUUUCACCAUCCAAUACAAGACAUUUAACUCAAGUCAAAACCAAGUUUAACACAUAUCAUAACACCCCAUAUGUCCAAGUAUUCAAUCUUACCUAGAUGACCAUAUAAACAUAUAUGCAUAUUUUUCCAAUCAUGUUAUCUCAAACCAUUCAUCAAUAUACCCAUAAAUUAUCCAUUCUUAAUCAUAUCAAACACAACUAAUAUGAUAAGGACACACAUAUUUACAUAUCAAAAUAUGUCCAACUCAAGCCAUUCUAAUGGCUAUUUAACAAUAAAAUAUUUUAAAGCUAAAAUUGGCCAAAUUACCCUAUACAUGCCAUUAUAACCAAAAUUAGUUUUCUAUAUAUAUCGAAAUGGGCUGAUGGAUAGUGUGAGAUAUCUCUGCCAAGCUUCCAACCCAACGAGCUUUUAAAGUACUAUAAAAUAGAGGAAAUAAAACAGAGUAAACAUUUAAUGCUUAGUAAGUUCGUAUAAUGGGAAAUUAACUUACCAUUCAUUUACAUUUAAGUAUACAAAAUACAUCCAAAGUAAAUUGGCUAAUAGCCUAAACACAUAACUUCAUCAAAUAUGUUUGUCAUUUAUUUCACAUGAAUAUCAAGAAACAUGUAUGAGCUCAUCAAAUAUCAAAUUUCCAUGUAUUCUGUGUAUAUAUAGAUAAUGAUUCACUUUGAAUUCAUAUAUUUUCUCAUAUAAGGAUUUUACUCGUUGAAUCAUUUAAAAUAUCGAUGGAUACACGGGUAGUACACACGAAGUGUGCAAAUCUGAAAUCCGUCAAUUCAUAUUCGGGAAUGCUUAUACGAGCACAUAAACGAGAAGCUCUUUCAAGCCAUAUAACGGGAAGCUCAAGUGAGUCGUGUAACGGAAAGCUCCGGAGAGCCAUUAACGGGAAGUUCAAGCGAGCCAAUAUCGAGAAGCUCCAGAGAGCCAUUAAUCGGGAAGUUCAUAAGAGCCAGUUAUCGGGAUGCUUUGAAGAGCUAAUUAUCCAGAAGCUCAUAAGAGCCAUAAACGGGAAUCUCGUAAGAACCAUAUAACGGGUAGCUCUGGAGAGCCAUAUAUCAGGACGCUCAUAAGAGUUGUGGUGUGUCCACAACAUAUGCAGGAUCACAACCAAUCAGGAUACUCCGAAGAGCUAUUAACGAGAAACUCGUGAAAGCCAAAUAUCGAGACACUCGUAAGAGCUAUGGUGUGUCCACAACACAUGCAAGACCAUAACCAAUUUAGGAACCCUGUAUCCAUCGAAUUUCAUUUGUACAAACGGAACUUAAUUCUUGUCAGACAUUGUCGGAUAUGUGAUUGAUUUUAAUAUAUGAAAAUUACACAAUUCACAUACAUAACAUUCAAUUCAAACAUAUAAUUAUACAAUUUAGUUACACAAACUUACCUCGACAAUAUUCGUGAACUUGUAAGCUAUUAAUCCAAUACUUUUUCUUUUCCUCGAUCUAGCUCCGUAUUAGGUCCAUUCGGAUCUAUACGAAUGAAUUUUAACAUCAAUUUAUAUUCAAUUCAAUUCAAUCCACAUCUUUGGAAAAAUUACCAUUUUGCCCCUAUAUUUUUAUUUAAUUACAAUUUCGUCCCUAGGCUCGGAAAAAUGAAAUUCAUGCAAUCUAAUUGUAAUAGCCCGAUUUAGACCCUAAUCGGACAUAGUGGUUUCGGGACCACAAAUCCUAGUUAAAAAAUAUUUUAAUAUUAUUUUGUGUGUUUAUUAUGUGUGAAUUUAUAUCCAUGAAAUUUUCGUAUUUUAAUUUUGUUGUUUGAGUGCCGAUUUAAUAAAAAAGGUUUAAUCGCGUAAAAUGAAAAUUUAGGGGUUAAAUCCAAAAGGGUCGAAUAGUGGUUGUUCUUUUAAUAUGGAGUCUUUAUUUUGUAAUUUAGCCAUUUAUAAGAUAGUGGGUGGCAAUGGACUAAAAUGACCUUAGUGUAUAUGUUUUCUAUUUUAAUUAGUAAAGGUUAAUUUAGUAAUUGAAUAAUAAUAUAUAUGUGAUAAUAAAUAAAGCUAUUAUGUUCAUCUUCUUCACCGAAUGUUGAAAAGAAAAAGAGAGUUUGAAAGCUUGAAACAUUCGACCAUUGUUGGAGCUUAAAUUAAGGUUAGUUUUUGAUCGGUUUUUGAUAAUUUUUACGUUUUUGAGAUCGUUGCUUUGUGUUCUUCAAAACCCAUGCUUUAAUUUUUGGAAUUUAUGAUGAUUUUGUGAUGUGCCAUUGAUGAUAGUUUGUGAUUUUUGUUGGUUGAUGGUAGAAAAUAAAAGAUAUGUAAUAGAUUAUAAUGUUUGUUUUUAAAUUUUUGAUGAAUUUGAUUAUUUUGAGUUAAAAUUGAGGGACUAAAUUGUGAAAUAAAUGACAUUCAAGGACCUAUAUGAGACUAGGGAAUAUUCGGCCAAACUACAUUGUGAUUAAAUUGGAAUAUUUUGUGUUUUGUGCAAUUUGGACUGAAUUGUAAAAAUGUUAAAUAUUAGGGGUAAAAUGGUAAAUUACCCAUUUAUGUGUUUUUGGAUGAAAUUGAAUGAAAUUAUGUUUGAAUGAGUUAAAUUUGAAUGUGUUAGGAUCAAGAAUUAAAGAAAUCGGACUUGGAUCGGGGGAAAAAUAAAGUCGACGAUUAAUCGUUCCGUUCCGGUUUAUUGUUACCCGAGGUAAGUUUAUAAUCAAAUAGAUGUUAUAAUUUUUGAAUAAAUAUUAGUUAUAUAUGUCGAAAUGAAAGUAUGCAAAAAUAUAUAGCUGAAUAUGUUUUAGUCGAAAAAUAGAAAUAGACGUGAAUGUGAUUUAUCAAUAUUUAGCACUAAGUGUGUGAGUAUGGGAUAGCUACAACUAUAUGAAUGGCACUAAGUGUGCGAAACUAAAAUGACGAUGUUGAAUAAUGGGCACUAAGUGUGCGAAAUUAAAAUGAUGAUGUUGAAUAACGGGUACUAAGUGUGCGAUACCGAGAGCAUUUUGGUUAGAUGAGAAAGAGCACUAAGUGUGCAACUUCAUUAUGGUCUCGACCAAUUAUUUAGUACAUGAUAGGUCAAGUAUGCAAUGGUUGAAUAAUAUAUGAUAUCAAGGUAAGUUAGUUACUUCAACUGUGAUAAUUAAAUUUUGCAAGCUCGAAUGUGUAUAUAUAUAUGAAUAUGAUUGCAUUAUUCGAUUUUGUUAUUGAAUUAUUAACGUCAUUGAAUUGUUUAAUUGCUUAUAACUUACUAAGCUAAAUUAGCUUACAAUGUGUUGGAUAAUUGUUUUGAUGUAUAGAUUUUGGUGAUCGCUACGUGUUUGGGGAUCGUCAGCUAAGCUCAUCACACUAUCGAUAUCUUUUGGUAUUUUGCUAAAUUUUGAAUUCGGUCGUAUGGCAUGUAUAGACUAGUUUUGGAUUUUAGCUUAAUUUGAUAGUGUGUGUGUGUAUUAAAGCCAUGCGAAAAUGGCUUAAUAUCCUGUUAUGUUUGUUUUGGAUUGGAUUAUGAAUCAUACAUGACUUGAUAAUAGUUUAGUAUUUUAUGGGUAAUAUUUCACAUGCGAAUAUUAUGUGUGGUUUAUUUGGUUGGUAUCAAAGUGAAUAUAUAUUAUAUGAUCUAUAAUAAAUGUAAUUUUAAAAGAAAAAAAAUGUUAAUGUCUAUGUACAUGUUUGUGGUUGUUUAUUAUGUUUGAUAGGUUAAAGAGAUUACCAAGAAUUAUAAAAGUGAUAUUUGUUUUGUAUCUUGGAUUAAUAAAGUAUUGAAAUAGAAUAUGGAAUUAGGAAGUGAAUUAUGUUGAGCAUUUGUGAAUAUGCAUGAAAAUGGUUAUUUCGUUUAUAUGCUGUUAAAAUGGUAUAUGGUUUGAUGUUUAAACAUUGGCUUUUGUUUGAUAAUUUGAUUAGUAAAAAUAGGUUGUUUUGGCGUUUAAUGUAAUAAAAAUAAAUUAUAUACUUAUAAUAAGACAUGAAUUUUGGUUGUAUAAUUAGAACAUGUAUAUUUGUUUUACAUUUGGGAAUGAACUGAUUUGGUUAUAGGAGAAGCUAAUUACUGAAUACAUGUUAAAUUAUUUUGGACAUUUUUUUUAAAGAGAUGUAUGUGCGGUUUGAUAUUAGUAUGUAUAAAAUACUUUUAUUGUAUAAUUUAAUUUUGGUAAAUAAUACUUGGCUAAUCAUAAUUUCAAAUUAUAUGAAAUUUUAUUUGGCUUGUAUAUUCUUUUCGAAAGGGUGAAUUAACAAAUUUAGUAACUAUGUGACUUGAUUAUUAUAACGUAAUUAGUUACUCUAUUUUAUUUAAAUAGGCUUGGUCAUAUUAAUAUAAAAUGCUAUUGGUUAAAUAUUUUAUGUGCAAUGAUUGAGUUUGUUUAUUUAUUUAUUAUAUCUUUUAUUAUUAAUGCUGAUUAUUAAAUUAUGAUUGAAUAUUUAAAUAUGUUUUUAAAUAGUUAAAUUUGUCGUGGUUACAAAAGUAGUAUUGAUCUUGAAUGAUAAAGAAUGUUUAAUAAUUAUGUCAAAUCGUGCCAUGUCCGGUAAUGCCUUAUAACCCUAAUCUGACGACGGUUACGGGUUAGGGGUGUUACACUAAUCCUUAUUCCAAGCCUAGCCAAUUUUUACAUAUAACAUGAACAUCCCAUGUAUUUCACAAAAUUUAGAAUUUUUCAUAAAUUUUACAUCUUUUUGAUUUAGUCCUUAAAUCAUAAUUUCAUCAAAAUUCCCUUUACAAAAGUUGUUUAUCUAUCAACAACCUUUCAAUUUCUACCAUAAAACUUCAUAAUUCAACUAUAUUCAUUCAUGGAAAAUCCCUAGUACUUUGAUAGCUUUGCAAAUUAUCCCCGAGAUAGCUAGAUUAAGCUAUUACGAUAUCAGAAAUAUAAAAAUCAUUAAAAACGAGACAAGAAUAGUAACCCAAUUGAGCCAAAUAAGCUUGCUAACUUCAAGCUCUUCUAACUAGGGUUCCUAUGUCUUUUAUUUGAGAAAGAUGAUAUAAAAUAAUGAUAUUAGAUUUUUAUUUUAUUUAUCAUCUUUUAUUUAUUUACUUUCCAAUUUAGUCCUUUUCUUUAUUAAAUUUUCCAAGGAUGAAUCAUCAUACUUAUCUACUAACUCCUCCUAAUGGUCUAUUUGCCAUUUAAAGACCUCAAAUUUUGAAUUCCAUAGCUAUUUGACACCUAUAACUAUUAGAACUCAACUUUUGCAUUUUUGUGCAAUUUGGUCUUUUUUUAUCAGAUUAGACAUGAAAUCAGUAAAAUUUCUUUACGAAAUUUUCCUACGAUAUUCCUAUCAUACUAUAGACCAUAAAAUAAUAUUAAAAUAAAUUUUCUUCCGACCUCGGAUUUGUGGCCCCAAAACCACUGUUCUGAUUUUACUAAAAACGGGCUGUUACAAAAUCAAACGUGUAGCCACUAGUAACACCUAUUAACUUUUUUUAACAUUCAAGCACUCAAAGAUUUUUAAAUUUUUGGUGCCAAGAAAUUUAUAAAAACCAAUUCAUCUUAUCUGGUAUGUUUUCUUUCCUAUUUUUUUUGGUAAAUUGUUUUAUGAAAAAAAAUUACUUUAAAGUUUCUUUCAAACUAGAGUUUAUUUUGUCCACUAUAUUGGUACCUGAGCCUAAUUCCAUUACUUUUUACUGACGUGGCAGCGCUAACCAUUCGCACACCGCAAUGUGUCACUAUGUUUGUACUUUUUCCUUUUUAUUUUUUUUCAUUUUCCCUAUUUUUUCUUUUCUUCUUUUACUUUUUCCUACCCUAGCCGCAAUGUCUAACAAGCAUUGCAAAAUCAAUAACAACUUUCAAUUCAAGAAAUAACAUUGACAUGGAUGGCAACAAUGCCUCAGCCGCCAUAGCAGUGGCAAGAGCCACAAAGCAAAUAAAAAUCUAAAAAAAUCUAGGAGAACGAAGUUGACAAGAGGCCGCCAUUCUCCUUUUGUCGUUUCUCUCUUUGGAUUCUGCUAAUGGCGAAGCCAAUGAGAGGUCGUCGUUCUCCUUCUGUCUCUGGCUUUGACUCCUCUUCUCGUUCUCGUUCAUGGUUUAGCCUUAAGAGGAUGCCUUCGACCAUGUAGCGGAAAGAACCGUCGAGGACAUUGAAAGUAGCGGAAUCUGACACCAAAACUUCAGAUUUGGCAGAGGGAGCAAGCUUAUAAGACUUUUUUACUCCGGUAAGCUCUUCGACCAACAAUGAUAGCAAAAUACUCAUUUCCUUCCUCUUGUAAGCACUAACUUUAAUUUUUAAUGAUUUCACAUUUAAAGCUUCACAUCCAAAAUGAAUGAAAUGUAAAACUUAGAAGGAAACUAAAGAGGGAGGAAAUGAGUUAUCUGGUGUUGUCGUUAGCUCACCGGAGGAGGCUAAACAAUGGCCUAGAAGUAGUGUAGAAGCAGAUGACUAGGGUAGGAAAAGAAAAAGAAAAAAAAGGGAAGAAGAAAACAAAAGAAGAAAAAGGGAAAAUGAAAAAGAAAAUAAAAAAAGGUGCAAAUAGGUGACACGUGGCGACAUGCGAAUGGUCAGCGUUGCCACGUUAGUAAAAAAGUAACGGCGUUAGGCUCAAGUACCAAUAUAGUGAAUGGAAAAAAAAGUUCGAGUACCAAUUUGGGACAAAAAAAAUCAUAAGUACCAAUAUGACAGAAGUGGACAAGUUUGGGAACCAAUUUUAUAUUAAUCCUAUUCCUUAAAAAGAACGAAACAUAUGUCUCGUAGACAAUACAACAAUGCAUACUAUUUUAAGGAUAAAAAAACAUUUUUAUUGUUCCGUAAUGAAACAAACUAAACUUUAGUAGUACAAAAUUAAUUUAAAGCUUCAGAAGAGCUAAUAUAAUGUUACCCUAUCUUCAAUAAGGCAAUGAAACACGUUAAUAUUAUGUAUUACAAAAUUAAUUCAAGGCUCUAGAAGAGCUAAUACGUUGUUAUCCGAACAAACAAAAUAAUGGUUAAUGUAUCAUGUUCUAGUCAGUCUCAAAAAAAUUAUUUUGUUUUAAAAUAUAUUCUCAUUGAUGGAUCUCAUAUUGAGAUUGUAUCUUAUAUUGAGAUUGUGAAUGAGAAAAAAAUAUUUAGUAUGAAUCACUCUUGCUAUAAAUAUCUACAUCUUUUGAUAGAGAAAGAUUAAGUUAUUGAAUUAUAUUAUGCAUGAUACUUGGAUACCUAUCUUUAUUUUGAAAAUGAUAGAGAAAGAUUGAGUUUUGAUUGUCAAAGAUCCACUUGAACUGUGGAUUAAUUUAAGAGAAAUAUAUGACCAUCGAAAUAUGAUAAAUUUAUCUAAAGCUCGUUAUGAUUGGAUGUACUUGAAGUUACAAUAUUUUAAAUUUGUAAGUGGGUAUAACUUUUAAGUAUUUAUGAUGAGUUCUCAAUUAUGUUGGAAUAAUAUUACUAUUGAGAACUUAUUAGAGAAAACCUUUUCAACUGUUCGUGCUCAAAUGUGCUCCUACAUUAGCAAUACCAUGAAAAUAAAAUGUUUAAAGAUAUAUUAUGAAUUAAUGUCAUGUUUACUUAUGAUUGAUUUAAAUAACGAGUUAUUAAAUGAAAAAUCAUUAAGCCUGUUGUAUUAGAUAUCAUUUUAUGAAGUGAAUGUAGCAAUAUAUAAAGAUGCAAUCUUUGAAGUGGAAAUGGUAAGUGGUUUUAUAAUAAUCGUAAAAAAGAUGGUCAUAAUAAUUCUUCUCACCGCUAGGAGUAGAAAAAUGAAGAUAAUGUGGAGACUGAUAAUAAGAUUACUGUUAAAAUUAAGUUUAGCGGUUUCAUCCUAUAUUCCAACUUUUAAUUGUUGUUCAUUUAUGAUAUGCUUAUACUACAGUUUGCUUAAUUUUGCACAUAUAUAUACAAAUGAAAAUUUGUUUGUGCGAAUUUUGAAAAUUGAUAGAUUUCAUUUGCAAUAGAAAUGCACGUGGUUUAGGCUAUGAUUUUAUUGUAUUGAGUUUAAUGUUUUAUAUUUGGAUGCUUCAAAGACAAAAUUUAUAAUUACCUCUCAACUUAUUAAUUUGGUGUUUUCUUCAAUGCAAUACUAGUAUAUCUACUUGUAUGGUCAAAUCACAUGCGAUGGUAAACUAGAAGUUUAUCUUAGUAUUGUUGAAUCACGUGCAUAGUAAAUCAAAGUUAUUAUUAGUCCAAAUAUACUAAUUAAUUGACAUGAUCGGUUAAACCAUCUUAAUAAAUAAUGAUACGCCAAAAUAAGAAUUUAGAUGAAAGUUUAUUAAGGAACUCGAAGAUUCUUUGUUUUAAAGAUCUUUUAAGUGUUGUUUUUUUCUCAAAGAACAUGAAUUAUUAGAACCUCUCUAACAAAAGUUGAGAUUGAAUCUCUAGUAUUUCUGAAAGAAAUAUGGGCCCGUUUAUCUAAUAAGUGGAUGUUUUGACAUAAUUUUGGUAGAUGCAUAUACAAGUUAAUCUCAUGUGAGUUAUUAACUUGCAACUUGUAGUUUGCGAGAUUACUUGUUUAAUGAUUUGUUUAAGAACAAAACUUUAAGAAAUGCAAUCGAGAUAAUUUUUGCUAACGUUGGUGAGUUUAUUUCUCAGGCUUUCAAUGAUUAUUGAAUGUUAGAUUUUUAGUGCGAGUAACAAUCGCAAAAGAUCUGUUGUUUAUACGUAUGGUUUAGCAAAAUUUAUGAAGUAAAUGUCUCUAACUAGUAACUAAAUCAUAUCUUUUGAGAACAAAACUUUUGUAUAUAAAUAAGGAUAUGAUAUUUUACAUGAAGCGUCACUUGUACGUAUCAUGCCAAUAAAUUAUGCUAAAAACUCCCCAUUACAAUUGGCUUUUGGUGAAGAUCCAAAUAUAACCCAUUUUAAAAUUAGAAGUUUUUAAUGUGCGUAUAUGUUUAAGUUGCUCCACUACAAUGCGCAAAUAAGUAUUUAAAGAAUGUUGAGAAUAUAUAUUAAUUAUAAAUCUUCUUGUAUUAUUGGAUGUUAUGAAUGAAUUAGAGAUUUAAUUAUGAUACGAGUUUAUUACUUUUUUGAUUUGACAAUUUUUUUAAUAUCAAGGAGAGCGAAAUAAUAGUUGGAUGAAAUAAUUACUUGGAAAGAAAAUAUAGAUUCUCGUAGAAAGUAAUUUGAACUAGAAGUUUAAAAAGGAUAAUUCAUUUUAUAGCAAGUUAACCGUUAGAUGUAUUUAUUGACCUGAUGAGAAUAAUCAAGUGUUAUAUACCAACAAAUGUUUUUAUUUGAACCGAAGUCUCAUUAGAACAAUAUGCUAGAAUAAUUGAAAAUAAUGCAGGCUUGAAGUAUGGUAAACCUAUUGGUUUCAAAUAUGAAAAUUCUUGCAAAAAAAAUCAAUAUGGUUAAUAAUGGAGGCGGGUGCUCCUGAAGAGACUCAAGACAUAACUAAUUAUUCAAAAUCUAAAUAUAAAAACAAUAAAAAAAAAGAGAUCUCAAUAAGUUAUGUCAAUACGAGAAAGUAUGGAAUCGUGGAAAAUAGAAAAUUGUCGAUAAUGAUUUUGCAUGCAAUAUUAUUGUUGAGACAAUGAGGAGACGCAAUAUUAUUGUUGAGACAAUGAGGGGGAUCUUGAAUAAAAUUGUCAAGAAACAUAGACAUGAGUAGAUUGGCCAAAAAAAAAAAAAACAAAAACGCAAUUCAUGUAGUAUGAAAUUUGUGAAGUUUGUGGACCAGUAGUCCAAACAUCUUAAAUGUAGAAAGUUAAUGUGGUUCAAAUUAUGAGAAGAUAUAAUAUUCUUUUGUGGUUGAUGCAAUAACUUAUAUAUAUAUUAUUAAGUCUAGCAAAUUAUGAAAUAUUUGACAUGGGUCUUAUGAUUGUUGUUACAGUAUUUAUGCGAAUCACUAUAUAGUGGAAGUUUAUAUUAAAAUCCUUGAAGGAUUUAGAACACUGGAAGUAUAUAGAAAUUCUCAGGAAAUUAUUUGAUACGUUUGAGUAAAUAUUUAUAUGAAUUAAAUUGAUUUGAACAUAUGUGAUAAAUUCGACUUAGUGAAUAAUAGUUAAAGUAAUAUUAUAAUCCAACUUUCGCAUGUAUAGAGGGAUCAUGAUCAAAGUUUACUAAGAUUAUUGUUGGAACUCUUGAAGAUAUUAAAAUAUGCUUCCCCAAAAGUAUUCAUCACUCAUAACUUUCAGAAGAAUGAUAAUAUAAAUAUUUAAUAUAAGAUCAAGAUGUAAACAUAAUUUAGAGAGAUUUAAAAUUUUGUUUGAUAUUUUGGAUUUUGAUUUAGUAUAAAUAUAUUUUAUCUUGCAUACUUAUAAAAUUUAUCUUAAGAGUACGUCGCAUUGUUCUGUUCCGAAUUCUUGAAACAAAAAUAAAAAAAAAAGAUGAAGAAAAGAAUGUUUAGAGGAAUAUUUUGGUUUAAAUAUAAAAUAAGAGAUAAAAGCAUUCUGCCUUGGAAGGGGAAGUUGCAUUGAUACGAUGGGCUUGGGAGAACUCAAAUCUCCCAACAUGUGAAACAAAAUGGUUUGUAAAUAAGACAAAUUAAUGCACCACAUCGUAAAAUAUAGUCGUACGUGAAUUCAUAUAUUGGAGAAUAUAGCAAAAACAUGAUCGUCAUUCGUCUCUUUCUGUAUGAAAACUGCGACUCAAAUAUCAAUCUCUCUGGUCCCGACGGGAUAUCGGCUUUGCUUUUGCCAGCUGUAAUCAACAACGUUUCGCUUCACUCUCCUGGUUUUAAAUUCGAAAUUCAGCAAACAUACAUACAUACAUAAUGUUCAUGAAAGAUUAUUUCGCAGUGGAAAUAGAGACCAAAUAACUUAAAAGAGGAGAGAUACUUGCAACUUAGGUUCCACUUCCCAGAAGAGAGAAAGAAGCUAUACAUACAUACAUGGAUAUAACCCCACCAUAGCCACAGAGGUUGAUUUAUAUAAUAUAAAUUAGCAUGAUACCAAAACAUGCUCCCCAUUUCCAUUAAUGUGGGCAAAUUACAUGGAAAGGAAAACCGAACCUCCACUGUACGCACGUCUUCAUAGCUUAACAACAAAAUCUAAAGCGCAGUUGUGGACCAAAACAAAAGAUCCUUUCCUUUUUCCAAAAACGCAUAACUAAACUCUAAGCAGGUAAACACUGAGCUCAGGGCCUCCGGAACCAUCAGGAUUCAUCAUGUAAAAGGCUUCCGAGUCUUUAGACCCUACAACCCUCUCGAACUUGGCUCUCAUGUACAUCAGCUCACCUUCGGACCCAGCUCCAUUGUCAUUGCAGUUUCCUGGUAGCACACCCGCACCCAUUGAAAUUGGCUCCACCGCCUUUAACACUUUCCACUCUUCGGCUCCGCACUCGCGCCUCAUUGCGAACCCACAUUUCUUUCCAUUGCAGUAAGUCCUCCAAACAGGCUCAUUCAGCAACUUCACCCCUUUCUUCCCCAUCUUCUUUUCACACUCUAAGGCAAUUCGAACCAAUCCAGAAGCCAUUUCCCGAACUAAAACACUAGUCGGUGUUGCAAGUUGGAUUAAAAAUGCUGGACUUACUUUUGCUUCUUCUUGAAAUGCAAAGUGGACGUGACCACGCCGAUAUCCGAACAGGGUUCCAACAACUCUGGUGCCUAAACCUGAACGAUAUGCUGAUGUAUUCUUCCCAAACACACUGAGAGCCGACCGAAGUCUGGAAACUGACACAAUUGGAAGCUUCUUUCUUGGUGGUGGAACUAAAGAAACUCGACUGGCCACUGGGAUUCGGAGCUCCUCUGCUUCCUUAGCUUCCUCAGAAAAAAGCGAGGAGGAGCUGAAGGUUAGGAUUUCUUCCUCGUUGUCAUCAUCAUCUUCCACCUUCUUUUUCCAGUUGAAAUAUCUCCUGGAGAAGGAGAAAGAAGAAUCGUGGGGGCUCUUGGCUGUGAUUGUCUUCAUAUGUGAAGGAAAGAAAGAAGGAACUAAGCAACUCCUAGAGCCUUUGAUAGUCAAGUUUCGGUGAGUAAAGAGAGAAACUGGUAUAUAUAAAUAAAAGAGUGUGACUAUGUAUCUAUUAACUUUUCAGUAGUUGUGGGGUGGAUUUAUUCUUUGCGUCUUAAUGCCUUUUUUGUCAGCAUUGUAGGAUUGAGGGGGGACUUGCAAGGAAAUCCUGACAAGGGCGGUUGAGCAGCCCCACCUAACUGUAACAGUAGUAAAAAAAAUAUAUAUAUAUAUAUAUAAAAGAAGAUGGAGAAGCUAAUAGAGAGAGAAAGAGACUUGAAAACAAGUAGAGGAGAAUAGCGGGAAUCUGAGGAGACAAUAGCUGAGUGUGAUUUCUUUAUCAUGUGGGGGAAGAAUAGGCUGAAAAUAAGGGCAGUGUGGGGUAAAGACCAGAGAGUGAAAAGGAGAAUUGACUGUCUACUCUGACUUGCAUUGGAAAGUGUUAAAAGGAUAGGUAAAACCACACCAACCUUACCCACCAUCUCCAGUAUUCCACCUUUGGGUUCUUUCAGCUCCUGUCUUCAUUUGCAAUUGCAAUACAACAGUAGCCCGCCGUAGCCCCAAACUCAAUCCCCCUUCUAUUCUAUGCUAAUGCUACCACCUAUAACUUAUGAUCCAGCCAGACUCCGUGUUUUGCAUCCUUUAAUGUCUUUUUCUGAAUUUGAAAAAAUGAUUAGCCCGACUCGCUGUUUCAAAUAAAGCAGCUGGCGCCUGGCUUUAUCGAUUCAGCAUUGUCUACGCUCUGUCUAGGUUAAAGCUAACUCUUCUUUUACCUUUUAAUUCUCAGGUCCACAUAUCAUUACAAUUAUUCCUUCCUUUCAAAUUUUCAAUACCAUCUGGAAAUAAAAAAUAGUGUAUAUAAUACUCCACAGAACAGAGCUAAUACUACGAAUAUUAUAAUUCUAUUUUGUUGUUUAAUAUAAAAAUAUUGAAAAAGGUAGAAUAUGGAACUUGAUGUAAUGCUGCCAAACCAUCACCCACUAGCAAAUUAGCAGAUAUCAGGUCUCCAGAAAGCAAACGAAAGGAAGCUCCUUUGAUUUGUUAAGUUGUAUGGUGGAGUAUCAAAUGUCAAAAAGUUUGAACCUACUCAUAAUGACUAUUGUGACCAUUGAGCCAAUAAAUUUCAUGCAAAAGAAUGAGCUAAGAAUAAGAUAGGUUAGAAUCAAGGCAACCAUCUUUUUUUGGUACAUAUGUUUGAAAUUUGAGCUUAAAAGACUGAUUUAGGGUUGUCUCUCUCCACUAUAGCCACAGACAGUCCUUAGGUUAGGGUCAAGAGCGGUUGAAUUUUGGAUCACCAUGAUUAAGUCCCAUCCACAUGCAAAUUGUUAGAAAAUGGCUUGUUUAACCUUUUUUUUUUCUAAUUUAUGGGACCGACCUAAUUCACGGACCAACUAACCAGGAUCCCAUCAAGAUCCUUAAGUUGAAGUUGACCUAAUUAAAUCUGAAGUAUGAAGGUUUUUCCUGUACCACCCCUAACCACUUUAUUUAGAUAUAUAUAAAAUAAUCUUACUCAACAGCUUAGGAAGUCAAAGUUUAAGCAACAAAUAAUGCAUUAAAUGUAGUAUUAAAUUAACAAUACAAAAAAAAAAAGAAAAAAAAACAGAGACCUAUGUGGAUAGAUGACCAACCAAAAGGUCUUGAGCAUAAGCCAUGAGGAUAAUUUAUCAAUCAAAGCAGGAGAAAAUAGGUCACUAGCCAAAGAUGUAAAACGUUCAGCAGAGACGGAAGCCAGAUGGGCUGACCGGGUGCUAAUCAGCUGCUCCAAUUAGUGAAUUCGAAAUUUAUAAUGCUUACCUUAAUAUGUACAUCCAAUUCAAUUACCUAAGAAAUAAUCAAAUGUAUAAUUGGCGGCCUCUCAAAUUUUUUUUUAAAAAAAUCCUAAGUUACAUUAUGAAAUAGGAAAUUUGAUAUUAUAUUUAGUGCAUUAUUAGUGGAAAAAAAAUUCCACAAACUCGAGUUAAAUCAUUAUAAGUGUUCUUUGAAUUAUAUUUAAAAUUUAAUCAUCUUAAUUUUGUUUGUCAAAUAAUAACCUUAUAUAUUUGAUAAAAUUUUGGGUAUAACCCUCAUUGAUAUUAAUAUAUAUUAGUUAAAUUCUUUUCUUCAAUUUUUAAUGAAUGUAUAUUUAUAUUAAUUAUUAAAUUAAUAUUAUUCAUUCCAAACAAAAAGUAAACAUUAUAAUAUUAUACAACGAUGAGUAUUUGAUAUAUUGGCGAUAUGUUUUUUUUUUAUAUUUCACAAGUAACAUGUUUUUCUUUUUCAUUUAAACAUUUAUAUUUUUAAUAUUUUACUAUACUCUUAUAGGACAUUGUCAAUCCCCUUAUCUUACUUGUGAAAUAUAAAAACUCUAGUAGUAGUGUGUCAAAUAAUCUCCCGUUGUACAAGUCUUAUGUUUUUUUAUUGUGAUAUUAAAUAAUUAUAUAUUAAUUGUAUUAAAUUUUUUGAAAGGAUUUUAAUUUUACUUUUUUGAAGGAUAAUUUUGCAAGAAAACUUGGAGUUUGUUUUGGCAAAUUUGAAAUCUUUGUGAUAAAAAUAUAUAAGAUUUUGUAAAAAUAAAUACAAAAUUAUAAAAAUAUUUAUAAAUAAAUAUUAAUUUUCUCAUUUUCUAACAUGAAAUUUAUUUAUUAAAAUAACAAUUUUAUAAAUAAAAUUAUAAUCUUAUAAAUAAAAUAAUUUAAGGGAAAACAAACCAUGAAGAAGACUUGCGCAUAUUCAACAUUUUCAUUUUUUCAACAUUAACAACUGUCAUAUUCAAGUUGGGUCAACAACUGUAAUUUGAGGUUGAAAAGGGGUGAGAAAUGAUGUCUUUAGGUUGUUCAAAAUGGAUUUGUUGCGUUUGAGGUUGUGCUUGAGGGUGGACAUUAUUGAUGGGUGUAUAGGUGAGGAUGAAGUUUUGGAGACCCAUUACGUGGAAGGCCAUGACGACAACUCCACAACCAAUUCCUAGUUCAAUGGUGUAGUGAUAGAUGACAUGAAAAUCGAAGAGUUCAGAGUAAUAAGGAUUAUUGGUGCCAGUGAUUGUGAAUGAAGGCGGUGUCCAACAUUCGGAAAAUUUGAUGAAGACUAAGGAAUAAGGUAAUAAGUCGACCCAAAGGUGAACAAGCCAUUAGAGGAACAACCCCAACAAAAACAAUCCUUGCCAGAAGUAGUAGGGAGCGGCAUUGCAAUAAUUUUAGAAGAGGUAUCUACAGGCAGGGGCAAAUCUAGAAUUUUUUUUAAGGGAGACUAGAGUUGAAUUAUAAAUUUUUAAGAGUUCAAAAUAUAGUUUUAUCAUGUAUUAAUUUAUGAUUUAGGACUUAACAGAAUUUUUUUCAUUGUUGAGGAGUGUCAAAGUACAAUUUAAGCAUAUACAUAUAUAUAUAUAUAUAUUUGAGGAGCCUGUCUACAUGUAAAUCAGAGGGGAUGAGAUUAGGAAUGGUAAGUAUCUGACUCUCAAGUGUUAGGAGAUGCUUUAAAUAGAUGUCUAGGCCUAAAAAUAUCAUGGAGUAGGUAGUUAUUUAUUUAUAUUUAAAUGAUGUUUUUGGUUUUAUUUUGUUCUUUUUAUUCACAAUAUAAUGUUGUAUGUAGAUAAAUAUUUUGUUGUUGACACAUCCGAUAUUUUUAGCUUUUUCACUUGAAUUUUUGGAGAGGAAACAUGCGAACUAAUUAUAAAUAGCACAAUUGAAAGAACAAACGAUUUAUUAAAGAGGAGAUUAUGACUAUUACACUCUGCUUGUUUCUACAAUAUGAAAACAAAAAUGAAAAUUUUUAAUGCAUGUUGCAUAUUAUACAAAAAAAAAUUUGCGAGAUGAAGCGUACAAGACUCGUUAAAAGAUGUUGAUAAAGAGUUAAAAGUGAUCUAACACUUGAAGAUGUUUGAAGAAUAUCAUAGGCGAGGUUAUUAGUCUUAAUGCAUAUAUAAAUCCUAAACAAAUGUUUGCUCCUUUUGUUUUUCAAAACACUAUAAGCUAUACAUUUCUUAAUUAUUAAAGAUGAAAUUAUAUUAUAUAGGUCAAAUAUUUGUUUUUCUUAUGUUUUAGAAAUUUUAUAAUUAUUAUUAAUUUUUUUUUAAAAAUUUUGACGCUGACUUAAAUCCAAAUAUUAAUUUAGUGAAGUGAUUUAGAGUUUGAAUUGAGAUUAAUUUGAUAUUGUUCGGUUCGAUUCAGGUUUUUGAAUUUUUUAAACCAUCUAUCAUAAUUUAGUUUGGCUCGAUUUGGUUCUUGAUUUUUUUCAUAUUAAUAUUUGAUUUUGGAUUUUUAGACUUAUUUUUGGCAAAAAUGAGUUUUUAUGUAUGGUUUUUGAAUAUUAUUUUACAAAAAUUUAAAGCCUUUUUAGAAAUAUUUCUAAAAACCAAUAAUUUUCAAGAACUUUUCAAUUAUUUUCACUAAUUUAAAUGUAAAUUAUUUAUUUUUAUAUCAUAAAAUAAUUUAAAUUAAUUAUAUAAAAAAUAAAAAAAUAAAAUUUAAUUCGGUUUCAAUUAAUUGCAAUUUUUAGUCUUGCAUUCCAAAACCGUCCAAACAUCACUAUUCGGGUCAAUUUUCUGUUUUUCUUGCUAAGCCCUAGUUGUAGUACUAUUUUUCACUUAUAAUUUAUAAGCAAUUUAUUUUUUUUAAAAUUAUUGUUAAAGCUCAAAGCUAAUUGAAAUUGAAAUUUAAGAUGAAUUUAAAUUAAUUCAAAAUUUUAAAUUUAACCUAAACCAGAAUUUGGGAAUCAGGAAUUUAAAAAUUAAUAUUUUCAAAGGCUCAAGAAUAAGUUAAGAGCCAUUAAUCCCCGUAAUUUGUUUCUUAUGGAGACAAAAUUAAGCUAAAAAAAUGGAGUUGGUAAGGUUGAAGUGUGGGUUUGAGAAUGGAAUCGAUGUUGGGGCAAUAGGCACAAGAGGUGGUUUAUCGUUGGGCUGGAAAGGGAAUACAUUAGUUCAGCUUAAAAGUUUUUCCUCGUUUCAUAUUGAUGUUGAAGUUCAUGAUAAUGAUUGUGGCGAUAUCUGGAGGUUAACGGGGUUCUAUGGGAAUCCGGAUGAAAUGAGUAGAAGAGCUUCAUGGGACCUGCUUCGACAGUUAAAUUAUGAUCAAUCUACCCCUUGGGUUAUUUUGGGUGACUUUAAUGAGAUUGCGAAUUCUUUUGAGAAGAAAGGUGGUUGCCUCCGAUCAAAUCGACAGAUGAAGGAAUUUCGUGAGGCAUUAGAUGAUUGCAGUCUUAAUGAUUUAGGCUUUAUUGGCCGGUGGUUCACAUGGGAACGAGGACGAUUUGUUUCUACAAAUAUAAGGGAACGGCUGGAUCGUGGAGUUGCUACUUUGGGUUGGGUGAAUCUGUUUCCUGGAUGUCGACUUGAACAUUUGGGUCAUUCUUUUUCCGACCAUUGCCCCCUUCUCCUAGAUUCUGAGGAGUGGUAUGGAAUAAUCAAGACAGUUUUGUGAAGCCUUUUAGGUUUGAGGCCAAAUGGUGUUUAGAUAGUUCUUUUGAGGGGAUGGUUAAAAGGUGGUGGGAUGAUAAUUCUGGAAGUGUUUUGAGCAAGUUGGAGGAACUGAUACAUCAUAUGCUCAGUUGGAGUAAGUCUACUCGUAGGAAGGAGAAGAGAAAUAGGAUUGAAUUAGAAGACAGAUUGACUAAUCUUUAUAAUCAAGAUCUUUCUGAUGAGAUUUUAGCUGAGAUUACGGAGGUCCAAUUAGGACUUAAUUGAUAAGGAAGAGUUAUUUUGGGAGCAACGUGCACGUGUGAAUUGGCUGAAGAAUGGUGAUCGAAAUACCAGCUAUUUUCAUAAGGUUGUUGUGCAACGCCAUUUUCAUGGUAGAAUUACUGAGCUGCAAGAUGAAAAUGGGGGACGGGUUAAUUCGAUUGAAGAAUUUUUACAGAUUGCUUCUAAAUAUUUUGGUAACUUUUUUUCUACUUCAGAUAUCGGUUCAGAUGAGCAUUUAUUUGGUUUAGUUGAGAAAAAAAGUUACUGACAGCAUGAAUGAUAGGUUAUUAAAGAAGUUCACCGAGGAGGAGAUUGCCUAUGUUGUUAAACUGAUGGCACCUUUGAAAGCCCCCGGUGUUGAUGGGUUUCCUACAAUCUUUUUUCAAAGGUACUGGCAUAUUAUUGGGCCGAAAGUCUCUCAAUUCUGUUUAUCUAUUCUGAAUGGACAAUCUGAGCUAGGAGAUAUCAAUAAAACGCGCAUUAUUUUGAUGUUUAAAAUUGAUAAGCCAAAAAAUAUGUCGCAUUUCAGACCCAUAAGCCUUUGUAAUGCUAUUUACAAAAUUAUUGCAAAAUUCUUGGUGAUUUGUAUGAGUGAUAUGCUGGGGAAUUGCAUUGAUGAAGCUCAAUGGGCUUUUAUCCCAGGAAGACUUAUUUCGGACAAUGUUCUAAUUACUUAUGAGGUCAUUCAUUCUUUAAAAAUGAAGAAGAGCGGCAAGAAAGGUAAUUUUGCGCUUAAACUCGAUAUGAGUAAAGCGUAUGAUCGUGUUGAAUGGGAUUUUUUUGCGGGGAUGGUGAAGCAUUUGAGUUUUCAUAUGGAUUGGAUUGUUCUCAUCAUAUGAUGCGUUUUCUCUGUUUCAUACUCGGUUAGUCUUAAUGGAUAUCAUAUCGAAUGGUUCUCUCCUUCAAGAGGGUUAUGACAAGGAGAUUCUCUUAGCCCCUAUCUGUUUUUAAUUUGUGCUGAAGGUUUUUCUACGCUUAUUCAGGAUGCUAAAAAUAAAAGAGGAUGGUGAGAGCACCUGUUGGUAGGGAGAAAUUUGCUGUUAAUUAUCUAUUUUUUACAGAUGAUUGUAUCCUAUUUAAAGAUGCCUCGUGUGAGGGAGCUGGGGUGGUUCGUGAUGUAAUUCGUGAGUAUGAGAUGGUUUCGGGGCAAUGUCUGAAUUUUGAUAAGUCCUUUAUUUAUUUCAGAGCAAAUGUAGCUUCUAGCGUUAAGGAGGAUAUUGUCAAUCUGUUAGGGGUUCGUUUGGCAUCUAACCCCGAAAAGUACUUAGGCUUGCCUAUGAUGGUGGGGAGGAAUAAAAAGUGGGCUUUUGCUAAUUUUGUGGACCGGUUCAGAAAACGGGUUAAGGGGUAGAGUUUGUGCUAUCUGUCAAUGGGGGGUAAGGAGGUCUUUAUUAAAUCGUUUUUGCAGGUGACCUCAAUUUAUGCUAUGCAAUGCUUCCUUCUGCCAAAGACGUUAUGUCGAAAGCUUGAAGGCAUUAUGAACAGGUUUUGGUGGACGAAUAAUAAAUCCUCGAAGGGCAUUCAUUGGAGCACUUGGGAAAUGUUAUGUAAUCCAAAAUGCCUUAGAGUGAUGGGCUUUAAAAACUUGUUUUUGUUUAAUAAUGCCUUAUUAGCAAAACAGGUUUGGCGCAUUUUAUCCCGGCCUCAUUGUUUUUUGGCUAAGGUUUUAAAAGCCCGUUAUUUCCCUUAUUCAGAUAUUCUAUCAGCAGUGUUCGGGAGUUGAUUGGAGAAGGGAUUUUGUGGCGGGUUGGGAAUGGUGCUCGCAUUAAUACAUGGAAUGAUCCUUGGUUACUUGGAAGGGAGAACAUUAGAAUUUCAGUUCAGGACAUUCGGCCUAAUUAGACAACGGUUAAUCAAUUAAUUAUGAAUGAGGGUUGUAAGAAAAUCUAAUAUGUCCUCUAAUGAUGAGGAUUAGAAAGGUUUCUACACAGAUUUGUGGUCAUUAAAUAUUCCUGAGAAGAUUAAAAUACACGUUUGGAGGAUGUUUAAUAAUUUGGUGCCUCACUAUUUAAAUCUGGCGCGUAGAACUUUGUGUGAGGAUGCGGUGUGCCGACUAUGUAAGGCAUAACUGAAGAAUUCUGAGCAUCAGUUGUUGUCUUGUGGUGUUCUACAGGAUGUGUGGGCUUCGUUGCAAGUUCAAACUCCUCAUUUUGAAGAUUCGCUGGAUCACAAGAUUUGCUUUGUUAGAACAUUUUUUGAAGCAGAUGGCCGACAAAAACGACUCAUUGCUAUCUCUUUAUGGGGUCUUUGGUUUCAUAGAAAUAAAUUGGUGCAUGAAGGAGUAAAAUUUUCGAGGCAAAAAUUAUUGGGGUUCAUUCGAGGUUAUGAACAAGAUCUUUGUUUAUUUCAUGAGAACCUCUGUCCUAUUACUGGUUCUUAGGUUAAGGAGCUUUGGAAGCCUCCUGACUUUAGAAUCAUUAAGCUUAAUUUUGAUGCGUCUUUCAUUCAAGAAAAGAAACUUGCUACAACAGCGGUUUUAGCUAAAGAUUACAAAGGAGAAGUUGUUGGGGCAGAAACUUAUCUAUUUGAAGAUGCUGUUGACGCAUUUAUGGCAGAGGCACGAGCUUGUGAAAGGGCUUUAAUCUUCACGAGUAUGAUGUGUUUUAGACGGAUGGUUGUGGAAGGUGAUUCUCUAUCUGUCAUAAAAAAUAUUAGGAAAAAGGAGGCAGAUAAAUCGGUUCUCAGGCCGAUUACUCAUCAUAUUCAUUAGUUGGAUAUGCUUUUUGAUGAGGUUACUUACAAUUUCAUGCCUCGUGCGGUUAAUGAUGCGGCUCAUGUUUUGGCGUUGGAAGGUCGGAGAAGAAGAGUAUGUGGGAGCUGGGUUAAUGGCGUACCUGAUUCGAUGCGGAUUGUGAUGAUGAAUGACCGUUUGGCUUGGAAUCAGAGGGUCUAGGGUUCAUGCAGUUUUGCUUUGAAUUUGGAGAAGGUUCAUCGAAUCUCCAGUUGUAUUCAAAGCCUUGCUUUCUCCUUUGGCUAGUCUUUGUUGCAGAUAUUGUGGAGAGCUUUUCUGGCUGAUUGUGGGUUAUGAAGAGACGCGGUUGCUGGCUCAUGUGUUUUAUUUUUUUCUCUGUUUAUUUGGUCGAUAUUCUCUAGGAUUUUUAUUGCUUUAGGCUGGGCAACUGUUUUGUUGCUUUGGUUUUGUCGUUUCUUUUUAGGUGUUGUGUUUGGAGGCUUCUCAGCUUCUUUUUUUCCUUGAGUCGUGGGUCAAUAAAAAUCAACCUGUUUUUAUAAAAAAAAUCAAUAUUUUCAAAUCUAAGAUUUUGAAAUAUAAAUCCAAAUCCAAAUGUAAGUUUUCCGAAAAGAGUUGUUUAAUAACUUGAUAUUUGGAUUAAAUAAACAAUUGAAAUAUUUUUAUUGAUAUAUAAUCAAAUACACCCCUUAAAAACCAUUUGAAAUGCGAAAUCUUUAUUUGAUAAAAAAAUUAAUUUAUUGAAAAUUAAUAUUUUUAAUAGUUUAAAACAUAUGUUUGAUAACAUAUAUAAAAAACUAUUUGAAAAAGAUAAAUAAAUAAACAAUGACUUAUUACUUA